UUGUUUUUUUUUUUCAAAGAAGUCUUCUUCGGUGCGUAGAAAAGUUCUGUUUUCCUUUUUUCUUUUUUUUUUUUUACAAGUAAUUGGUGACUUUGUUUUUUGAAAAAUCUUUCUAGGGAAAAUAUUUAUCUUGAAUGAUAUUUUUUAAAUAAUUAAUUUUCUAUUAUUUGGUUGUAUAUUUAAUUAGUUAAAAAUAUAAAAAGUUUUAAUUUAUGAUAUUAGAAAAAUAUUUAUAAUUAUAGGAAUUUUGUAUUAUAAUAAUUUAAUAUUAAAUAUAAAAAGUGAAUACUUUUCAAAAAAAUGCAUAAAAUCAAAAAUGAUAAAUCAUCAUAAUUAUAGGUGAUUGGUGAUGGUGGCGGAUCGUAACUGGUGAUGAAUUAAUAAAUUUUUGUUAUAAAUUAAUAAUAAAUUUAACAAUAUCCAGAAAAUAUUCUCUUCUUUUGAAAUAGAAAGUCAUUUUCCUUUAAAUGGCUUAGUUUUUUCUUUUGUUAGAAAUAUUUCAAUAGUGGAUAGUUGUGUAUAGCAAUUUAAAGUGAAAGUAUUUAGUGAAAAUAGUUAUUUGAUUAACUGUUAAAUUUAAAAUAAUAAAACAGGAAUAUGUAGAGCUUGUUAAUUUAUAAAAAAAUAAUGGAUCUAAGUGUAAAACAAUUAUCUAUUAAUUAUUCUAAAAUACUAUAUAUUUCAUUAGACAUUAUUUUAACCUCUAAAAGCUAUUAUAUUGAUUACAUUGCGAAACAGACCAUUUCCAAAAUUUUGUUGUAUCUAAGGAAAACUGUAUCAUCUUCAACAAACUGAAUGAAUUACUUUCCAAUCUGAUAUGAUUCAGUUACCAAAUACUAUUUGCAAUAUUACUUUAGUGCAAUCUUAGACAAUGCUUAUUAUGAAAUAAAAAUUAUGAGUGUCUAAAAAUUCUCUCUAGUCUCUGCAAUAUCUAAAUUUUCAUUUUUUAUUUAACAUAUCUCUCUGUUUACUUUGCUCUAGUCUCUUGUGUACUAAAAUUAGCUGUUGCUACAAUACAAACUAUAUAAUCCAUAGAAAGGGGAUUCAUUCAAUUAUCGAUACAUUCGUUAAAUUUGACAGUUUUUUAGUUUUCAAAAGAAUUAAGAAAAUGAUUGAAUAACUUAAAUUUUAGAAAUUUUGUCCUAUAAUUAAUAUAAAGGCUAAAUGACAAUAAAAAAAAAAACUUGAAUUUUGAUUGUUUUUACAAUUUUAGCUUUUUUUUUUUUUUGGCUAUUGUGCAAUGAACUUAUUUUUUCAUUGUGAUUAUGGCCUCCAUCAUCUGUCUGUUAUGAAGUUGUCGUGAUAUUGCCAUUAGUGGAAUCCAUAUUUUCACACAAUAGCAUCACAAGAGCAAAAAAAAAAAAAAAAAAAAAAGGCUAAAUGAUAAAAAAAAAAAAAAAAAACCUAAACUCUAGCUUUUUUGCAAUUUGAACCAAUUUUUCCUUUAAAUUUUGACAAUGUCAGUUAUUUCAUAAUAUUUGCAUAUACAUACUUACCACAAAAUUAAUUAUAGUUUAAUCCUAUAAAAUUUAGAUUUUCUUGAUUAAUUCUCCACAGUAUAAUCUAUCACUCUACCAUAUACAAUUUAUAAUUUAAUUAUAUGUUUAAUUCAAAAUACGAAAAUAACAUUACAACAUUAUAUUAUAUAUUUUGCAUUCUACCUAAAUUAGAAAAUUUUGAAAUUAAAAAUUAAAUUAUCGUAAAACAAACUAAUUUACUAUUAAAUUAAAUAAAUUUUUAAAUUAAAUAAUUUUCAAAAAUCUAAAUGAAAUAAAUAAGUUUAUAGCAUUAUUUGCCAAAAUAAAAAGAAUUGACUAAAUUGCAUAAACAAUCCAAGUUCAUGCUCUUGUUAGUUAUUUAAAGUUUUUUUGCCGAGCGGCACGAUGAUAUACCGCUAAUGACGUCACAACAUGGAUCCCACUAAUGACAAAGCCAACAGGCAACAACUUUUAAGGCACAAGCACGAAUAGGGGUGAGCAAUUUCGGAUAUAACCGAAAAUUCAAACCCAAAUGAGUAAUUUUGGUUUGGUUCGACUGUUAAUAGCUCAAUUUUGGUUUGGAUCAGUUAGUUAUAAAUAUUAAUUUGAUUUUUCGGUUAUGGUGCGAUUAAUUUGAUAAAAACUUCGGUUAAUCCAAAUUAACCAGAUUAUUUUUUUUAGGAAAAAUUAUUAUUUCGUCCCUGAUGUUUGUCAUAAUUAUUUAAGUAGUCUCCGACAUUUAUACAUAUAUUUAUAACAUGCCUGAAGUUUGCCGCCGUCAUAUUAAUUGGUCCUUCCGUAAAAAAAAAAUACACUUUUUCCGUUAAUUUUGAGAAGAAAAGACGAAAUUAUCCUUUGAAAAAAUAAUUAUUUUGUCCCUGAAGUUUGCCAUAAUUAUUAAGUAGUCUCCGACAUUUAUACAAAUAUUAUAACGUCACUGAGGUUUACUUCAGUCAUAUUAAUUGGUCAUUCCAUAAAAAAAUAUACACUUUUUCCAUUAAUUUUGAGUGGAAAAGACGAAAUUAUCAUUUAUAAGUUUUCAUUGACAUUAUUAUUAAUCCAUUUCCUCUAAAAUAUCUAAAACUCACAUUUUCACCAUCUUCCUCAACCCGACGCGGUCUUCAUUGCCACCACCGUAUCAAUGAAAACUAUCAUCUCUAUAACUAAAUCACCACCAAAACUAAAACCCAACAUCCAAACUCAAUCAAGUCAUCAUCGCCCUUCAUCCAUUUAUCUCUCUCUUCUUGAUUAGAGGAUUUAGGAUAGUUUAGUGAAAUAACCCGAAUUUUUAUUUUUAAAGAUUUUUCAUUUAAAUUUAAUAAACUGACAGCGUAGAAACUGUAUGUAAUUAUUUAAAUGCAAAUUAAUAAUUUGUACAGUGAUAAAACGAAUCGAAAACCAAUUGAAAAUCGGCAAAUCAAACGAAAACCAAGAUUUGGGCUGAAUCGAACCGGACUCGAAUCGAAUCAACCCAAACCAUCUAGAAACAUCUCCUUUCUUUUUUUUUGUUCUUCUUCAACGCUCAUCUCCCUCACCAUUUUUGCGCCAUCAGUCCACCAUCGACACUGCCAUCAGCACACUGCCAGCGCCACCUCCUCUUCUUCUUCUUCUUUCUCUUCUUUUCUUUCUUUCCUUCUCCUUUCUCUUCUGCGUUUCUGCUACUGGUGAGAGAAAGCCACAACGAACUGCGACUCCACCAGGCCAGGACGGAUCUUCAUCGCGCCGCCGUCACCACGGCCGCGCGUUUCAUUCUCAGGAAACCCAGUGGCUCCGCUAGUGAUCCUCGGACAGGUUGCGUCUCCAUCCCUCCCUCCUUUCUCUGUUUCAGGCGAGCGAAGCUCUCUGUGGAGCGCACUCACCUGGACUGGUUCGGUCGCGACUCCAGCCACCCAGAUCGAGCCUCUGUCGCACCACCAGCGAUCUUCUUCUUCUUCCAACAGGUCUGUUCCGCCUUGCAUGUGGCCACAGUUCGGUUGCCGCUGCUCCAGCACGAUUCCGGCCACCCACUUGCACCUCCAGCGCAUGUAGCUUUGAUCCGGCACGCGUAAACCUCCGAUCUAGCGAAAUCCGACAAGAAAAAUUAUACUUGGGGUAUAAAUCAAUUUUUGCUAAUUCUCAGAAGUUAUUUGAGUAAUUUGGGUAUAAUUUAACUUAGUAAUUUUAGUUAAUUGAAUUAAUUUUAGUAAUCUUGAUUAGUUAAUUUAAUUUAGCAAGUUUGAUCGGUUGAAUUAAUUUGAUUUAGUGUUGAUCCGUGGAUUAAUAAAAAUAUACUUGAUUAAUUAAAAUUAAAUUCUGGUAAUAAAUAAAAUUGUUGGGAAAGUAUGAUUCAUGGAAUUAAAGAAAAAUUAACAAAAUAUUGUUGAUGUGAAUAAAUGUGGAGAACGGGACUAAUUGACUGGAUUGAUUGUCCGAUGGAUUGGGCUGUGAGAACCUGAAAAAUAAUUGAAUGAGUUAAUUGAUGGAUAGUUAAAUUUUUAGGAGAAGUGUUGCUGAAAUUUUGAUAGAAAAUAAAAUUAAUUAUAGAAAUUAAAUUACUUAUAGAGAUUAAAUUAUUUAUAGAAAUUAAAAAUAUAGAAUAAGAUUAUUAGAGUGAUAAAUAAAUAUUUUGUCUGAUAUAGUUAUUUUUCGGUGCCAUGCUUAAAUUUCUUAGAUCGCCCGAAUCCGUCUAGUGCUUCUCCUGGACAGAAUCAAAGCUAGAACUUUGAUUUUCAUCACUGUGAGUAAUAAUAAAUAAUGCAUAUCAGCAUUGCAUUUGCAUAGCAUUUACAUAUAUCUUAUAUUGUGCAUUUUAUACAUUCUAUUAUGUCACUGGUACCGUAUAAAUAUAUUUUACGAUUGCACAUUUGAAUGAAUUGUUUGAUUAAUUGUGUUAUGACUAUACUGUGCUUUAUUCGUGUGGAAUUGGGAUGAAGUGGGUCACCACGGGUUUGUGAGACCGAUACUGUGAUAUGGAUCCGACUGAUAUACUGUUUACUGUAAUAUGGAUCCGACUGAUAUACUGUUUACUGUGAUAUGGAUCUGUAAUAUUGAUAUACUGUUUACUGUGAUAUAGAUCCGUAAUACUGAUAUACUGUUUACUGUGAUAUGGAUCCGACUGACAUACUGUUUACAGUGAUAUGGAUCCGUAUACUGAUAUACUGUUUAUUGUGAUAUGGAUCCUGAAACUGAUAAUCUGAGAGGAUGGGUCGUGUGAUAGUACGGCUCGUCGGGGGUUUCGGUGACUCCACUGAUUAAUUUCUACGUGAUGUGAUUAUUUGAAGGUGAUAUUGUUUGUGGGUACUGAUAUGAUGGCAUAUGAGUGACUGUUGCGUGUUCAUUCAGUAUACUAGGGUGCAUUUUGUGUGACUGUAUGUGGUGUGUAUUAUUUAUUAUUAUUCACUGAGUUGCAAAACUCAUCCCCCCCCCAACAAACCUCUCAGGUACUAGGAAGCAGCUGACUCGACUGAAGUUUUGCAAUCUUCACCGCAGAGUUAUAAAUGUAAACUUUAUAUUUCUGAUGUUUAAUUUUGGAUGUAUAAAUUAUUCUAUUAUCAGAAUAUUAUUGAACUUUAUAGGGUUGUGUAUUUAAAUUAGGCCUUUCCGUUUGCACCAUGCUAUAAAUUAAUUAGUGUGUAAUUAACUGUAGAUGAACCAGUAAGCCCAUAUUGCGGAUAUGAUUUAUCGUGAAUAGACCCUUGUUAAAUUUUAUGUAUCCUUGAGAUUGGGCCAAAUGGCGGAAUAUUUCUAUAAACUUAUAUCGUAACUCAUAUGGGCUCACUGUUCUUAAGAAAUUGGGAGAGCUAUAUAGAUAGAUUGCAUAAUUUAGGCUUACUACGGGACUCGGGGGCCUUAAGCUUACCUGGGCCCUAGUGUCGGUCCGGCCCAUGGAAACGGGUCCUGACAUUUAGUCAUUCUAUUAAAAAUUAACAGCAAAAAGUGUGUUUUUUGGACGGAAGGACCAAGUAAUGUGAUGGAAGAAACCUCAGGGACGUUAUAAAUAUUUGUAUAAAUGGCGGGUACUACUUAAAUAAAACUCAGCAACAAAAUAAUUAUUUUCCCUUUUAGUUUUGUUGGUGAUCUGGUUAUGGAGAUGAUACUUGACAGAGACACGGUGGUGGCAAUGAAGACCAUGUUGGGUUCAGGAAGAUGGUGAAAAUUUGAGUUUCAGGUAUUUUAAAGGAAAGGGAUUGACAAUAAUGUCAAUGAAAACUUAUAAAGGAUAAUUUCAUCUUUUCCACUCAAAAUUAACGGAAAAAGUGUAUUUUUUUUUAUGGAAGGACCAAUUAAUAUGACGGAAGUAAACCUCAGGGACAUUAUAAAGAUUUGUAUAAAUGUUAGGGACUACUUAAUAAUUAUGGCAAACUUCAGGGACGAAAGAAUUAUUUUUUCAAAGGAUAAUUUCAUCUUUUUCUCUCAAAAUUAACUGAAAAAAUGUAUUUUUUUGAUGGAAGGACUAAUUAAUAUGACGGUGGCAAACCUCAAGGACGUUAUAAAUAUGUGUAUAAAUGUCGAGGACUACUUAAAUAAUUAUGGCAAACCUCAGGGACGAAAUAAUAAUUUUUCCUUUUUUUAUUCUAUACAAUUGUCUAUAAAUUUAUAAACAUACGUAUAUAAUUGUUUUAAGACUGUAAAUUGUAAAUUUGGAGACAGAAACACAUAUAUUGAAAAAUUUUGAAUUUGAAUAUUUUCUCGUAAUACUAAUUCCGUUAUCCGAACGGUUGUGAUUUUUUGUAAUAAAAAUGCAUACCAAUGGAUUCAGUUAUUUUUAGUUUUAUUUUAAAUAUGGUUUGAAUUGGAUAAUAGAUUUAUGAAAUUCGUCUAUAUUCGGAUUGAGUUAUUCAGUUUAGAUUAUUUUGGAUUAGCCGAAUGCUCACCCUUACAUACGAAGGGUAUAAUUGCAAUCCAAAAAAUAAAUCCACGGUCACCAAUUGUCAAAAUUAAAAUAAUUAAUUGAAAUUACAAAUACAACCAAAGUUGAUGCUUUUUUAUUAUUUAGCCAAAUAUAAAAUGUCAUUAUUUUCUUUUUCAUUAUUUUUUCGGUUAAUGUUAAAUUUUCAAACAUAUCCUCCAAAACUCUAGCUAGGUUGGGUAUAUUAUUGAAGUCUAUUUGGGAUUAUAGUUGGGUUUCAUAAGUUUUUCCUGGAUUUUUAAUAAAAUGAAUUUAUUUUGCGGAAAAAAAAAACUAUCCUUCAAAAAAAAAAUAUAUAUAUAUAUAUAUAUAUAGUAUACUAAUAUGCCAAAAUUUAGACGGAAUUGAUUUGAAUGAAAAUGAUUUAAAUUCUUUAAACAAAAGAUUAAGUAUUUGAUAAUAUUAUAAACCUGACGGGCUAUAAACUUUUUUUUUUCUAUAGACUUGCUUUCUAAAUUAUUUAUUAUUCGUAUCGGCUUUCUUUUUUUUUUUUUUUAUUUUCAUUUUUAAAUCAAAUGAAGACUUGCUUUUGAUAUUGCGUUCUUAAUUAUUCAUUUCAUGACUGCUUGUUAUUUACGUUUUAACAUUAAUUGGUGUGUCCAUGUAUGAGAGAUCAUGGCCAUAUUGAUACUGGAUUAAUUUUAUAAUUAUCCAUGUAAAAGUAUAAGUCGCCAAAUUUUACAAUUCUCGUGCAUUAGGAGUUAGCAGCCAUCAUUGAAUUUACUUUAUUUUAUUUUAUUUUAUUUUUGAUAGUGCAGUGCUGUCCAUAACUUUUUUUUUUUUUUUUUUAAUCUAUAAAAGCAGUAAUUAAAUGACUCUCAUGACUCGGUAAUAUUAUCAAUUAGCAAUCCUAAUCAUCUAUUACUGCCCCAAUUAGUUUUCAACUCCCAUUCAUUUCCAUUUGAUUUUUUCAAAACGUGAUAAUGCAUGACAAUUACUACUCCCUCCAAUGUUUCUCUGUGUUUGUUUUGCUCCUUCUAAUGGACGUGAGACCAGCUUUUGCAGUUGGAAAUGAUUCUGUUAUGUGCAAAGAAAGGGAGAGACAAGCACUCCUUAACAUCAAACAUGACCUUAUAGAUUACUAGCGUUACCUCUCUUCUUGGGAAAGUGAAGAAGACAAAAGAGAUUGUUGCAAAUGGAUGGGUGUCACUUGCAUCGACCGAACAGGUCAUGUUACAGAACUUGAUCUUAGUUUCAUGCAUUUGAGAGGUAAGAUGAGUCAUUCCUUGCUUGAACUGAGACAUCUAACUGACUUGGAUUUAAGUUUUAAUGAUUUUGGCGGCACUCAGUUCCCAAUUGAUCAUCAAACUGGUUCCCUCACCAAUUUGAUAUUCUUCGAACUCUCAAAUGCUAAUUUUGGUGGAACCAUCUCUUCUAAUGACAUUGGAAACAACAAGUGGGUUUAUGGUCUUUCUUCUUUAAUCAACCUAGAUCUGAGUGGCAUUCUACUGAUUAACCCCAAUGAUUGAUUGCCAAUACUUAACAACAAGCUCGUUCACAUUCAUGAAUUGUGGCUAAGUUCUAGAAUCCUUCGGGAACUUGUCUGGAUUGCACAUUCUAGACCUAUUAAGUAACAAGUUCAACGUACAACUUUUUGACUUGAUCUAAAAUCUAUUCGGAUCCACUGAGAGAUCACUGGAGGAAUUACACUUGGACAAAAAUCAAAUAACAGGUACAAUACCAAAUGAUCUUGCAAGAUUUUCAUGUUUAUCAAUUCCAUCACUUGGAAACAACCAUUUGAAUGGAAGCAUAAACAAAAGCAUUGCACAUCUGUCUAAACUCGUAAGUUUGAAUCUUAGUUGGAAUUCAUUGGAUGGUGUCAUUGAAGACCACUUUUCAACUCUAUUAAAAUUACAACUAUUGGAUUUAUCAAAUGAUGUAUUUUCUGAAAUGCCUCCCAAUUAUUUUAUGAAUAUGCAAACUUUAAUGUUCUUGAAUUUAAAUAAUAACAAUUUGUCUAAUGAAAUUCCUCCUUUUAUAGGAUCUCUUACCAAAUUUGAAACACUAAAUUUAAGAAACAAUAAAUUAUCAGGAAAGUUAUCUUUUUCUUUAAAAAAUUGUAUUAAUUUAAAAUUCUUUGACCUAAGUGAUAACAAAAUAUCAGAAAACAUACCCAUUUGGAUUGGGAAAAAUUUAUCAUCUUUGCAAUAUCUUAGCUUGAAAUCCAAUCAAUUCUAUGGAAGCAUGCCUUUGCAACUGUGCCAAUUGAUAAAUAUUUAGACAUUAGAUCUCUCUAUAAACAGUAUAAAUGGAACCAUACCAAAUUGCCUUAACAAUUUAAUAGCUAUGGCUACGGGGAAUUCCAAUGAAACCAUUAAUCAUGAAUACUUGUACAUCGCGUCGAGUGGCAUUACAACUAUUUUUUAGUAAAUUGACGAGGCAUUGAUUUUUUGGAAGGGGAUCAAGUAUGAAUUAGAUAAAAAUCUUGGAAGGUUGAGGAUAAUUGAUUUUUUAAGUAACAAAUUAGAAUGAGAGAUUUCAAGAAAAAUAAUCAUCCUCGCAAGUCUUGAACAAUUGAAUUUGUCCAAUAACAGGUUGAGUGGUGUAAUUCCUGGUGAAAUUGGUGGCAUGAAUAAAUUAGAGUCACUCAAUUUAUCUCAGAAUCAACUAUCAGAUAGACUUUCUGCAAGUAUGUCUCAUUUGAAUUUCCUGAAUGCCAUAAAUUUGUUACAUAAUAAUUUUUCCGGAAGGAUUCCAUCAAGUGCUCAACUCCAGUCCUUCAGUGCUUCUGCAUUUAGUUAUCAUCCAGCAUUUUGUGGACUCCCACUUCCACAAAAGUGUAUGGGAGAUGAUAUUCAAGAUUCUUCCAAUGGUGAUGAAAGAGAUAGCGAAGAAGAUGAAUUCAAGAAAUCACUCUAUUUUGGAAUGGGGCUUGGAUUCUUUGUAUGGUUCAGGGGAGUUUUUGGUACUUUACUGAUGAAGAACUCUUGUAGACAUUCCUUUUGCAAGUUUCUGGAUGAAUGGAGAGAUUGGUUUUGCAUGCUAAUAAUAGUGUGUACUUGAUGAAGAGAUUGGUACAAAUCAAGGUAAGAUCUUUUCCUCUUUCUAUUAAAAUUUUUACCAUUGACAAUAAUUAAAUUUAUAUCAUAUGGACAUACUUUCUUUUCUUUUCUUUUCUUUUCUUUUCUUUUUUUUUUUUUUUUUGACAAUUCUGGAUGCUGAUUAUGAAACAUUAAUUUUUGUGCAAUUGUUGUACUAUGAAGCAUUAAUUUAGAUUGAAAUUUUGGAAUAUAAAAUUUAAAACGAAAUGCAUUAUAAAAAAUUGUUGUAUGAAAAUAAAAUGGAAUUGUAAAAUAAAUUCCAUGUUCUAAAAUUUUAAUCUUAAAUUUUUAUUUAUUUUUAAAAUAUAAUAUAUUAAAUUGAAUGAUAUAUAUAUGCAAUAAUAUAAUUUAAUUUGAAUCAUGAUACUUAAUGGAGUAAACUAAUAUUUGAGAUUUGGUAAAUUAACAAUUCAACCCAUUUUUCAAAGUUAAAUUAUUUAAAUGGUAUUAAGAUACACUGGCGAAGCUAGGAUCCUAAAGUUAGUGAGGACACAUAUGUAUAAUAUAUAUUUUUUAGUAUAAGAAAUUUAAAAAUAAAUUGAAUUAUGUAAUAAAAAUCUACAAUUUUCAUUCACAAUACAAAAAACAAUUAUUAAGCAACUAUUAAGAUAUAAUCACAUUUUUUUAAGAUUAAGAUAUAAUCACAUUUAUAAAAUACCUAUUAUCUCAAAAAUAAGUUAACUAUUUAUUACACUGUAUAAAGUACAUAUUAAAUAUGAUAAGAAUAUAAUAUAUGUUUAAUUAUUAUUUUUAAUAAAUUUUUUAAUUUGAUCGGUUAUAAUUAUUUACUACAAUUAACUUAUUAUUAUUAUUUACAAAAUUGAAAAUUGAUUAGUAAGUUAGUAAUUGAAUUGGUGCUGCUGCAGGCGGCCAUUUCCAAUUUGUGGACAAAAUGAGACCGGCUGUCUUUUGACAAUAGCUAAGGUAAUAAUUAAUUUAAUUUUUCUUUGUAAUUAAAUUUACAUUUAAUUCAUGAUUCACUGUACUAAUUAUCUUUUCUUUUGACCUUGUUUCUCCUCCGUUUGUUGAUAUGGCUAACAGGAGUUGCUGCUUCUCAAGCGUGCGUUUGGGUUAAUGUCAAAAAAAAAAAAAAAAAAAAAAGCGUGCGUUUGGGUCGGUUGUUUAAGUUCAUUUCGUUGUUGUUCUUCAUUUUGCUUAUGCAUGUGUUUAUUUGUCCUAACGUACGUUCUCUUCUAUGAUUAUAGAAUAGUACCGUAUUAAAAUAACAUUAAGAUUAAAAUAUUAUUUGAUAUUUUCGCAUACUAAAUAAAAAUAAUAUUCCAAAAUAGAAAAUGUAUUUUAACAGUACAAAAAAUAAUUAGUUAUAUAAAAGAAAUUAAUAAUAGAGAAAUUGAAAGAUUAUUUAAAAUCAUUCUAAAUAUAAAAAAAUAACCAUAAAACUGCAAAACUAAUUAAAAUAAAAAAUAAAAAAUAAAAAUGUACUUUAAAAACUACAUAACCAUAGAAUAGCUUCAAAAAAUUGAUCACGGGGAUGUACUUCGUAAGUGCACAAAUCGUAUAAGUAAUAUAGAAAAUAUUAUUGUCUUCACCGGAUUAAAUUGUUGAUUAUUAAACUAUUAUGUUUUCAAUUAUCUAGAAUUCUAAAGAGCGCAAUAGAUAAACUAAAAUUAAAUAAUUAAUUAAAAUAUAAAUAAAAAUAAACAACUAUAAAAUAUAUGAACUAAUAUAAUCUAAAUUCUAGUCUUGGCAGGGUGAAGCUAGCAUUUAGAAAGAAGGGUUAAACCAUUAUAAAACUUUAUUAAAAAGAUAUUGUAGAGAGCUGGAGGGGCUAGUGUCUUAAAAGCUCCUGUAGUCAAGGUUCAAACUUUGAUGUUGCUAAGAAUAUAUAUAUAUAUAUAUAUAUAUAUAUAUAUAUAUAUAUAGGAGGGAGCAAUUGCCCCUCUUUUGUAGCACGUAGCUUCGCCCUUGGCUAUUGGGAGUUGGUAUCACAUUAGCUAACAGAGGGCCGUUGCAAAUAUAAAUUUUCCACUUUGCAUUUGAUAGAUGAUAAUAAUUAAUAAUUGCAUGCUGGUAAUAAUGGUUUUCAAAUUGACUGGAAGAGGCUUUUAAGAUGAUUGAUGUGGUAUCGGUUAGCACCUUAAACGUCUUCACCCAUUAUUUUCCAAACUUAUCAGUACCUGCUUCGUGAAGGUAAGGCUCCACGUCCACUUCCAAUUUACAUUGAUGAAGGACCAGUAGAAGAGGCUAUAAAUUUCUCAGGGAGACACUUAACUUUAUGUCGCAUGUUAUCUUAUGCUUCUUCAUGCCAACGAAGAGGGUUAAUUUGGCUCUCUGAAGACCAUGUUUAAUGCCUUCUCUUCAACAAAUGACCCACUUGAUUACAAUAUGAUCUGGUAUCAACAAGCAGUGUUGGAAGCAGUGGGCAUUUCUCUUCGAAUGAUCUUCAAGUUUUAAAAAAAAUGGAAAAAAACAGAAAAAGCUAAAUAUAUAAAUAACAAAACGGCAAAUUAAAAAAAAAAAGGGCAAAUGCACUUCAAAAGCUCUAAUUUUAUGUAUUGUCGGUGUCUAUUUUGAAGCUUCUAUUUUUUAUAUAUUUACUAGUUUUUUUUAUGAUGUGCAUUGUGCAUUUAUUAUACUCGUUAUUUAUAUAUAUUUAAUUUUUUUAUUUACAUAAUAUUAAAGUAUAAGUUUUUAUUUAGAUUAAAAUAAAUAAAAUAUUUGUUUACAUUACACUUUUCCCUAAAAACUACUUGUAAUACUAUUUCUAUGUAAUUCUAUUUUAUAUAAUGAAGUUAUUUCAAAAUGAAGUUCAACCUAACCUUUGAACCUAAUUUCAGCUCCUAUAUAUAUUCUUGAAACCUUAAUAGGUGUCUAAAAAGUAAAUCAAGUCAUCACUCAAUUCUCAACUCUCUGUCCUCCAACCCUAAAUCAACAUCUAUAUAUAUUUAUAAGGGAAAAGGAAAAAAGAUACAAAAAAAAUAUUACUACUAGGUAAAAGAAAAUAAAUGAAAAACUGAUUCAAAUUGUUUAAAAAUAACACCAACCAGAAUAAUAGUUGUAAUCACUUUGAUUACAAUGACAGUAUUAUCUACUUAAUGCAUUAGAGAAAGAAAAAUUAUAUAAAUGGAUUCUUGAGACCAAAAAAAAAAUAUAUAGUUUUAGUUUUUUCCUAGUUUUUCAAGUACUAUUUUCUUUUGAGUCAAACAGAUUUAGGAUAUAAAAAAAAAAUGUCAAUAAAUUAAAAAUGUUUAAUCAUCAAGAGACGGUAGUGAAAGCGAUAGUAGUUACAAAUUGAUUCAGUAACCAAAAAGAAAAUAAAAAAUAAAAAAUUAUUUUCAGAACUCAAAAUAUAAUAAAAAACAAAUUACUCCAAUUUGAAUCUUAAAAAUUAGCCCCUUCUUCAAUCGGGAAGGCAAUAAUUUAAUGAAAUUUGAGUUUGAUGAAUGAAAAUAAUAAAAAAAGACUAAAGUCAAGCCAAUGAAAGAUAUCCAAUCAAAUUAUAUAAAUAUAAAGAAAAAUAAUAUUAAAAUAGAAGAAUAUAUUUUUUCUUUUUUAUCCAUCUCCUAAAAUAAAAUAUUUUAAAUCACAAUCAAAUAAUAAAAUCAAACAUUUAAAAAAUAACUUUGAAAAGUUAAAAAUUUAAAAAUUUUCAAAUGCCUUAUUAUCAUAUACAUUUAUUUAAAUAAAAUAAAUUCAAAAAAUUUAAAACUUACAAAUUUUAAAAGGCUUAAUUAUCUACACUAUUUAUUUAAAAAUUAGAUUUAAUACAAAAUAUCCAAUAAAAUCAAAGAAAAUUUGAAAAUAUUAAUUUUAUAUAAACUUAAUUUUUUUAAAAAAUAAAAAUAUAGAAAUUUAGGAAUAAAUAUUUUUUAAAAAUAAAUUAAAAAAAUUAAAUUUCACAGGCUUAACUAUGUGUAGAUUUAUAUUUAAAAAUAAAUUUAUAAAGAAAUCCAAUAAAAAUUGUAGAAAUUGAAAAAAAAAAUUCAAAAAUCAUUCUUAAUCAAAAUAUUUUAAAUUACAAUCAAAUAUUUUAUAUUUAUAAAGAUUUUUCCUUAUUCUUAUCUCUCUUAAUCAAAAUAUUUAAAAUUACAUUAGAUCUUAUAAAUAUUUUUUGAGAUAAAAUUUUUAAUUGGCUAUGAGUAAUGUUAUUUUAGAAUAUUUUAAACUUCACCAGGAUAUUUGAAACACCCUGAAUUUUUAUUUUCAAAACUUUGGAAUUUUUAUUAAAUCAAAAACCCGAAUUUUUGGAUAGUAUGGGUUGUUAAGACCGAGCAAGUUUAACUUGAGCCUGAAUUUGAAUUGGGCCCAAGCCCAAUAACAGACUGUNNNNNNNNNNNNNNNNNNNNNNNNNNNNNNNNNNNNNNNNNNNNNNNNNNNNNNNNNNNNNNNNNNNNNNNNNNNNNNNNNNNNNNNNNNNNNNNNNNNNNNNNNNNNNNNNNNNNNNNNNNNNNNNNNNNNNNNNNNNNNNNNNNNNNNNNNNNNNNNNNNNNNNNNNNNNNNNNNNNNNNNNNNNNNNNNNNNNNNNNNNNNNNNNNNNNNNNNNNNNNNNNNNNNNNNNNNNNNNNNNNNNNNNNNNNNNNNNNNNNNNNNNNNNNNNNNNNNNNNNNNNNNNNNNNNNNNNNNNNNNNNNNNNNNNNNNNNNNNNNNNNNNNNNNNNNNNNNNNNNNNNNNNNNNNNNNNNNNNNNNNNNNNNNNNNNNNNNNNNNNNNNNNNNNNNNNNNNNNNNNNNNNNNNNNNNNNNNNNNNNNNNNNNNNNNNNNNNNNNNNNNNNNNNNNNNNNNNNNNNNNNNNNNNNNNNNNNNNNNNNNNNNNNNNNNNNNNNNNNNNNNNNNNNNNNNNNNNNNNNNNNNNNNNNNNNNNNNNNNNNNNNNNNNNNNNNNNNNNNNNNNNNNNNNNNNNNNNNNNNNNNNNNNNNNNNNNNNNNNNNNNNNNNNNNNNNNNNNNNNNNNNNNNNNNNNNNNNNNNNNNNNNNNNNNNNNNNNNNNNNNNNNNNNNNNNNNNNNNNNNNNNNNNNNNNNNNNNNNNNNNNNNNNNNNNNNNNNNNNNNNNNNNNNNNNNNNNNNNNNNNNNNNNNNNNNNNNNNNNNNNNNNNNNNNNNNNNNNNNNNNNNNNNNNNNNNNNNNNNNNNNNNNNNNNNNNNNNNNNNNNNNNNNNNNNNNNNNNNNNNNNNNNNNNNNNNNNNNNNNNNNNNNNNNNNNNNNNNNNNNNNNNNNNNNNNNNNNNNNNNNNNNNNNNNNNNNNNNNNNNNNNNNNNNNNNNNNNNNNNNNNNNNNNNNNNNNNNNNNNNNNNNNNNNNNNNNNNNNNNNNNNNNNNNNNNNNNNNNNNNNNNNNNNNNNNNNNNNNNNNNNNNNNNNNNNNNNNNNNNNNNNNNNNNNNNNNNNNNNNNNNNNNNNNNNNNNNNNNNNNNNNNNNNNNNNNNNNNNNNNNNNNNNNNNNNNNNNNNNNNNNNNNNNNNNNNNNNNNNNNNNNNNNNNNNNNNNNNNNNNNNNNNNNNNNNNNNNNNNNNNNNNNNNNNNNNNNNNNNNNNNNNNNNNNNNNNNNNNNNNNNNNNNNNNNNNNNNNNNNNNNNNNNNNNNNNNNNNNNNNNNNNNNNNNNNNNNNNNNNNNNNNNNNNNNNNNNNNNNNNNNNNNNNNNNNNNNNNNNNNNNNNNNNNNNNNNNNNNNNNNNNNNNNNNNNNNNNNNNNNNNNNNNNNNNNNNNNNNNNNNNNNNNNNNNNNNNNNNNNNNNNNNNNNNNNNNNNNNNNNNNNNNNNNNNNNNNNNNNNNNNNNNNNNNNNNNNNNNNNNNNNNNNNNNNNNNNNNNNNNNNNNNNNNNNNNNNNNNNNNNNNNNNNNNNNNNNNNNNNNNNNNNNNNNNNNNNNNNNNNNNNNNNNNNNNNNNNNNNNNNNNNNNNNNNNNNNNNNNNNNNNNNNNNNNNNNNNNNNNNNNNNNNNNNNNNNNNNNNNNNNNNNNNNNNNNNNNNNNNNNNNNNNNNNNNNNNNNNNNNNNNNNNNNNNNNNNNNNNNNNNNNNNNNNNNNNNNNNNNNNNNNNNNNNNNNNNNNNNNNNNNNNNNNNNNNNNNNNNNNNNNNNNNNNNNNNNNNNNNNNNNNNNNNNNNNNNNNNNNNNNNNNNNNNNNNNNNNNNNNNNNNNNNNNNNNNNNNNNNNNNNNNNNNNNNNNNNNNNNNNNNNNNNNNNNNNNNNNNNNNNNNNNNNNNNNNNNNNNNNNNNNNNNNNNNNNNNNNNNNNNNNNNNNNNNNNNNNNNNNNNNNNNNNNNNNNNNNNNNNNNNNNNNNNNNNNNNNNNNNNNNNNNNNNNNNNNNNNNNNNNNNNNNNNNNNNNNNNNNNNNNNNNNNNNNNNNNNNNNNNNNNNNNNNNNNNNNNNNNNNNNNNNNNNNNNNNNNNNNNNNNNNNNNNNNNNNNNNNNNNNNNNNNNNNNNNNNNNNNNNNNNNNNNNNNNNNNNNNNNNNNNNNNNNNNNNNNNNNNNNNNNNNNNNNNNNNNNNNNNNNNNNNNNNNNNNNNNNNNNNNNNNNNNNNNNNNNNNNNNNNNNNNNNNNNNNNNNNNNNNNNNNNNNNNNNNNNNNNNNNNNNNNNNNNNNNNNNNNNNNNNNNNNNNNNNNNNNNNNNNNNNNNNNNNNNNNNNNNNNNNNNNNNNNNNNNNNNNNNNNNNNNNNNNNNNNNNNNNNNNNNNNNNNNNNNNNNNNNNNNNNNNNNNNNNNNNNNNNNNNNNNNNNNNNNNNNNNNNNNNNNNNNNNNNNNNNNNNNNNNNNNNNNNNNNNNNNNNNNNNNNNNNNNNNNNNNNNNNNNNNNNNNNNNNNNNNNNNNNNNNNNNNNNNNNNNNNNNNNNNNNNNNNNNNNNNNNNNNNNNNNNNNNNNNNNNNNNNNNNNNNNNNNNNNNNNNNNNNNNNNNNNNNNNNNNNNNNNNNNNNNNNNNNNNNNNNNNNNNNNNNNNNNNNNNNNNNNNNNNNNNNNNNNNNNNNNNNNNNNNNNNNNNNNNNNNNNNNNNNNNNNNNNNNNNNNNNNNNNNNNNNNNNNNNNNNNNNNNNNNNNNNNNNNNNNNNNNNNNNNNNNNNNNNNNNNNNNNNNNNNNNNNNNNNNNNNNNNNNNNNNNNNNNNNNNNNNNNNNNNNNNNNNNNNNNNNNNNNNNNNNNNNNNNNNNNNNNNNNNNNNNNNNNNNNNNNNNNNNNNNNNNNNNNNNNNNNNNNNNNNNNNNNNNNNNNNNNNNNNNNNNNNNNNNNNNNNNNNNNNNCGUACCUGGGCCCUAGUGCCGGUCCGGCCCAUGGAUUCGGGUCGUGACAAUAUUAUUGAAAAUCACAUUUUUCCUCCGUAUUCUAUAGUUAUAUAUAGUAUCAAUAAAUUAAAUAUAAAUUUUUUUGAAUAAUUAAAAAUAAAUAAAUUAAAUAGAAUAGGUUAAAUGAACUAAUAAAUAUUUAUUAAAAUUAAUUUGAUAAAAUUUUAAAAUAUUUAUUAGGCGAACUAAAAAAUAUUAAAAUUUCUUAUGCAUGUGCAUGCACCAUUAAAAAAUUUAAGAGUGUAGAAUUUUUAAAAAACUAAUGAAAAAAUAUUUAAAUUUCAAAAACUUAAAAGUCAUAAUUAUCUAUUUAUUUAUAAAUUAUUCAAAUAUUAAGUGUGUAUAGUAUUUAAAACUUUAAAAUAUAAAAUUUUUAAAAACUAAAAAAAAUCUCUAAAAUUCAAAAAUUGAAAAUUAUAAUUAAUUAUUUAUAUAUUAAUUAUUCAAAUAUUAUAUAUAUAUAUAUAUAUAUAUAUGUAUAUAAUUAAUUAAUUUUUUUUCGAUUGACUAUAAAAUAUUUCAGGAUAUCUUGAAAAUUUAUUAAAAUGUUUUAGGAAAUUUUAUUAUUUCUCUCGAAAUCCUAUUAUAUCCACAUUUUACUUUGAUUCAAGGUUGAGAUACAUAGAUAUUGUUACGUGCUCAGAAAUUUAUUAAUUAUAUAUUUAGAUAUUGUUAUAAAUUAUUCACCUAAAGAAUGCUUAAUUCUUCUCAAGGAUUUAUAAUAAACUCAAUAAUAUAACCAUCUCAAUAUAGGAAUCAGUUUAUAUACCAAUUUCAAGAGCAAAGAUUCGAAAUUGCUAAUCACAUUCGCCUAAACAGUAGCUGGAUAUAUAAAUUUCUGCAAUAGCUCAAGUAUUAGCAAUAAUAAUUGCUGUCAUAAUCAUUCUACACUCAUUCUUUAACUAAGAUUACCUUUAAUCACACUAAUAUAUUCACCAAAAUAUGUUUUAAAUAAAGAUAGAAAGAAAUUAAUUUAAAAUUUCUAAAAUAUUUAUAUGAACAGUAGUAUCUAAGGCUUUAUUCUACACUAAUUCAAUUAAUACAUCAAAUCCUAUAAUUAUACUCAAUGAAUUCAUGAAAAAUAUACCUAAAACGACCCAAAAAUCUUUUUUAAAAAUUUUACAUUUAAAAAUUUAAUUGUAAAUUUUAACCGAUGAAAUUUAGUAAAAAUAUUUUAUUAUUGCUAAACCAGAUCAGUAAAUCAAUUUUAAUUUUUCAAAAAUCAAGUCAAUUCACUAAAUUGGACCAAAUCGGUUCGAAUCGAACCUGAAAGUCUAGAAACCCAGAUUUUUAUUUCUUCUCUCUUCAUCUUCUUCUUCUUCCUUUUCUCUCCAGCGCCGCUGCCUUCCUCGCCAUCGCCCUGCCACUGCCUCUCGAUCUCAGUCUCUCUCUUUCUUGCGUCGUCCCCAGCGAGCUCGACGGCGUCUGCGACCUCCGUUCUGAUCGCUGCUCGACUCCAGCCACAGCCUGACGCCACGCCUCCUGCUGCUCGCGACUCCAGUGUGCACCACGGCCUCCGGCGAGCGCAGCAAAGGUAAGCUGCUAUUCCCCUUCGAUCGACAGCUUCUGUCAAUGCUUCCUUUGCUCCUCUUUGAUUUUCCAGUGAAUUCUACAGUUGGAUAAGCCACAUUUCGACCCUCUUAGAUUUAUUUUAUGAGUUCUAUGUCUCAGCUGAAGGAUUUGAAGCAUAAACUGAUUUAGUAUAGAAUCUGAAACUCCUAGCUUCCAUUUCUGCAGAUUAGCUUAGAAAAUCUUGAUAAAAAAAAAAAGUUGCUAAUGAAAGCUAUAAUCUGAGUUUCUAUAUGAGGGUGAGUACAUUACUUUGUUUGCAUCAAAUCUCUGUAUGGAGUGAGGGAUUUAGUAGCAUGGCAGCAACUAUAUUUAGUCAUUUGUUCAAAUUACUGCAUUAAUGAGAUAUAAAACACUCGGUGAACUAUACUUGAUCCUUUUCUACAAGUAUUUAACCUAUUACAUAGUUUAUUUGGGAAAAUUGUUAGUAGAAUUAUGGAUGAGAAGAAGCUAGGUUCCUGGAUAUUGUUCAUGCUACUCUAUUUAGGGAAAAUGAUUAUUUUUAAAAAAAAAAAAACUGGUUUAAGUUAUUAACUAAUCUAAUGAAUAAUUUAGCAUGAACAAAAUGAUUGUAGUUUGGAAAUCGAUAUAAUAUGGUUGUGGUACCGUUUAUAUGCAAAUUUGAGAAAUUAGACAGAUUUUGAUAUAGUACCAGCUAACCUAAUCAUUUGUUAGGAAUUAGUGCAUUGGCUUGAAAUAUAUGAUAUUAUGAAUCAAGUUUUUGUUGGGGAAGGAGUUAAUGGGCAAGAAAUGUAUGGGUUUUAAUAAGGAAUUCUGAUUAUUAACUGCAUCUUUUGCAAGUCACAUAUUUUGUGGGUUAGAAAAUGAAUGCUAUAGUUAUGUUAAUAGAACAUAAAGGAAUUGGUGGUAUUUUAGUUAUUAAUAAGCUAGCCAUGUUUAAUCUUGCUAUUUAAGAAGUGUUGAAGCUGUAUGGGAAUCUUCAUAAGAAAUAAAUUAUAAAUCGAUUUCUUGCAAAAAUAAGGAUAAAGAAACUUAUGGAUUUCUUGCUAGCUUGGGUUUGAAAUUUAAGGUCUGUUGGUGAAUUGUAGCAGCCAGGUUGGAGAAUUUCUUGAAUUUUUGAUUGAGUUCAAUUAAUAAUAGUGCUGUGAACCCAUUCUCUUCAUUUGGUAGUAAUCUUAGUAGUGUUUAAUGAUGGAUGUUAGAAAAUGGGAGAAUCAUGAAAAAGGUAACAAAUAACUUGAUUAAUUGUUUAAAUUUUCUUAUGAUAAGAAGAAAGGAUCCGGCAUAUUGAAAUUUUGAUAAACAACAAUUGAGCAUAUUCAUGCAAGCUUUGAUAAGGAGGUUAUGAUUUUCUUAUCAUGAUAACAACUAUACUAUUUGUUUCCAUGAUUUGACAGUACUUAGAUUUGAUAGGAAGGUUGUAUAUUUAUCAUAAUCGGGAAAUGAAUUAAUUAGCAUAGAGGUUAUGGGUUUUAGUCAGAAGAUUUCAUUUCCUUGAAUUAACAGCAGUCAUAUAUAUAUAUAUAUAUAUAUAUAUAUAUAUAUAUAUAUUUUUUCCAAUAUAUCAGAGUUUUGAUAAUGUUGAGAUUAGAAAUGGCAUGUUAUAUGAAUUCAGGAGCAAUCUAAAAUACGGGUUAUGAAUUUCGAGUAAGAAUUUGAUUUCCUCUUCGAUUGGUAGUAAUUAGAUGUAGUAAUGCCAUAGUUUUAUUUGGAACAAGUAACAGGUUGAUGUAUUCUUGUUCUUUUCAUGUUACUUUGAGCUCAUUAGUUGUAUUCGUCCUUGUUAAACAAUUCAAGUUGGUGUCUACAAACCCUGGGUCUCAGACUUUAGCCUCCUAUACCAAAACAAAGCAGAAAUUUAUACAAUAAUAGUUAGAAUGUGGACAAGAGAAAAGAUGUGGAUGAAAAAUGAUUUUAAUAUAAGAAAACUUCGAUUUCUACAGAUUGGCAAUAGUGAUCUUGAGUUUUUGUGCUGUUUUAGAAGGACAAAUAUAUAUAAAUCAGUGCACUUUCAAGAUUCUAUGCUAGUUGAAUUAUAAAUGCUUAUUUAUGAUUGAUAGACGGUUAAAAUGGGUUCCUCACCUAUACUUGUGCUUGGUGAGGACGAUGAUACACAGAUUAUUAGGUUGUGUCUGGGAUCUUAGGUAUAUAAGGAUAAAGAAAAGAAAAGAAAGAGUGAAUUAUUGUUGGUAUAUGAUUGUUUCACUUAUUUGUACAUAUGGACAAUUUAAACUAAUAGGAUCUGGAGGAUAGGUAAAUAUUUAUUUCCAUUUGUUUAUUAUUGUAUCGUGAUUAAAUAUUGAUACUAUUACUUGGUAUGGAGGAAGGGAAAUCAAUUUGUUAGAUUGCCCAAUGGAUGGGCUGUAGGGGUAAUAGUUGAUAGAUAAUAGAUAUAUAAUAUUGCUGAUAUCUAAACAAGUAGAAAAUUUUACUUUUAGGAGAGCUCCUGACGAAAUUUCGGUAGAAUUUUGAAUAAUCAUAUUUAAUAAAAGAUUGUUAGCUUAUUUAGAAUGAUUUCUUAUUCGUAUUAGGCCACAUUAUACAUGUUAUUUGUUGUAUAUAGGCCCAAAUUUUGAAUUAAUUUGAGAUAUUGAAGUUGGGGCCAGAGAAAAGCAAUCACUGGACUUAUAUGUAAAAUAAUGUAUACUUAUUAGAAAUCCAUUUGAUGUGCGCAGACUUUGUAAGGCUUACUAUGAGUCUUAAUAGCCUUAAGUUUACUUGGAUCUUAGCGCCGGUCCGACCCAUGACAACGGUCCCGACGAUACCGACGAUACCGAAAAAGGUCAACAAUCAAUUUACCUAGUUAUGGAAUCAAAGUCUGGUUUUACCGUUCUUAACUUGGCUGGAGAAAGGAGCCGCGACAUGCGACGAAGAGCUGGCGACGAAAAGAGAGCUGACUUCGCCGGCUGGUGGCUUAUCUUGCCGGAAAAGCAAGAAGAAGCGACUGAAGGUGGCUGUGUUGAUCAGCGUAGCAUAGCCCAGCACCUCCCCUAGUAGCGCUAAUCGAGACUGGGACCGAACAAGAGAGAGAGAGAGAGAGAGAGAGAGAGAGAAGGUGGCGGCGAGGCGGUGGUGACAUGGAGAGGGUCCGAUCGGCAAGGCUAGGGGUGAUGUCGUCGGAAAAAGGAGACCAAGGGGAUGGGGAGAGCUGCUACCGGCGCUGAUGGGAAGGAGAGCAAAUUUGUGUUAGGACAGAAUGGAUAUUUUCCAUAAUCUAGGGUUUUCUAGUAAGAUCUAGGAUGGUUUGGAUUUGAUUUGGGUUGGGUUUAAUCCAAAUCAUGAUUUUAGCUUGGUUUUUCUACUGGUUUGUUGAUUUAUUUAGGUUUGAAUUGGUUUAGAAAAUUUGGUCUAGCAAUAUAAAAUGCAUUUACAUUAAAUAAUUUCAUAGGGUAUUAAUUAAUUAAUUUAAAUAUAAUAAUAUUCUAUAAUAUUAUUGGGUUAGAAGUAAGAAUUAAAAUUUUAAAUGAAAAAUCUUGAAAAUAAAUUUCCGGAACGUUUCAUCUUCGUAUUGAUUGCUGUGGGGAAAUUUGAUAUUGAGGUGAUAUUGUAAUUUUUAACCUUAAAUCAGAUUUGUCAAUGGAUAAAGAGUUGAGAUAUUGCUAUUGAUGAUUCAAGUAGGUGAUGGGUUGCCAAAUGAGCAAUCUGGCUUUGGUAUUCACUCUCAUUUCAGAUUUGGGUGGGUUCGGGUUUUUUUCUUCAUUCAUGUGAAACGCAGAGUUUCACUUAACCCUCCCCUGGUUAAGUGAACUCAACUCAACAUCCGUCUCUGUGUGUCAAGGAUAUUAUUAUUAUAUUGCUUAAUUUUGAUCAAAACCAAAUUGGGGCUCAAUGUUGACAAAAAUUGAAAAUAGGGUGCCUGAAGGAUUAAGUUAUAUUAAGGUGAAAUUGUGUUAAGGAUAUGAAUGAUUGUUUACCCGUCUAUGUUGUAACAGCCCUUCAAUAUUCAUCCUAUUCACAAACAUUCCUUCUUCUUUUAUUAUAAACCUAUUGUUUAAAAAAAAAAAUGAAUAUGAAUCAAAUCAACAAAGACAAAAAUACCAAAUACGUUAUCUUUCUUGCUUUCAAAUUUUUCUUCGUACUGCAAUUCUAAAUGGAGCUGGGCAGUUCUUAGUAGCUUGCACGGGUCAUUUUGCAGGGGUGCUAAAACCUCACAUCGUAGAGGCCAUCGGCCUUAGGAAAUCAGAUUGCCUGGGACUGGUUCAAGCAGUAACUACUAGUUUUGAAUCUUAUUCAGAUUGGGCAUCAGUGAUAGCAGAGAUUAAACAGCUGCUUUCUCAAAUACCAUCUUGUGAAUUAGUCUGGGUUAGGAGGCAAGGCAAUAAGCGUGCACAUGCUCUUGCUCGUCUGGCAUAUUUAUAUCUUUGUUUCUAUCUAUGGGACUCGACUCCUCAAUGUAUUAACGAACUUAUUUCUCAUGAUUUAUUAUAACUAUAUGAUAUUAUUUACUAUCAAAAAAAAAAAAAAUUGUUAACGGGAAUGAAAACCUUCAAGAUUAUGUAAUUUUUCAUCCCUGCUUUCAAAUUUAAACUAUUUAAUUUUCAAUUUGAAAAUAUAGGUUUUUUCAUAGUCUUCGGAUAUGUACAUGAACAUCACUGUCUGUUGAACAACUUAUGAGUUGAUGUAUCCAAUAACUUUUCAGCUAUAUCAUUAAAAAAAACAGAACAGCUUUUAUUAAUUCUAUCCUUAACUUUGACAUGUAUUUCAUAUCAAUAAUAUAACAAAAUAUAUAAAACAUAUAACAAAAACUCAUAAAUAAAAGUAAAAUAAAAAAAUUGCAAGAGAUGCAAUUAUAAACGGGUUUGGAUAUAAAUAAUUAAAUGAAUACUUAAACGGAUAUGAGAUGAAUACAUAAAGUAAAAUUUUAGGGUAUUCGUCUGGUCCGAUCUGUUUAAAAAGGAUAUAAGUAGUUAUAAACGGUUUAAAAACGGAUAUAGAUAGUGAAAUUACUAUUUGUAAUGGAUACGGACAAAAUAUAUGUAUAAAUCUUUGAGUACUCACUAUCCGUUAGCCGAUAUCCAUUAUUAGUAAAAAAUAUAUUUUAAAAAAGUUUUGAUUUCGAUGGUUUAAGAUUCUCAUAUAUCUCAUCCAUUACGAGUUUAAAAUUUGCGGAUACGAGUACUAAAAUAGAUAAUUAAACCGGUUUAAAACGGAUACGGAUAAUAAGAUUUUACAUAUAUAUGGAUACGGAUAGUUUAAUAUGGAUAGUUUAAAAUUUGCAGGUACCUGCUUUGCUUCUAUCCCUAACGGCGUGACUGUCUCCCAUCCCUACAUCAAACUAGACAAAUCUAACCAACGUAAACGCUCUGUCGUUUAAUAAUACGGCAAACCAAGAAAAACUUUGCGGUGGCAGUUACCCCGUCUUAGUGCCCCCGCCGUUUCUUUUUUAUUUUUUUCCUUUCUUUUUUCCUUAUCACGCGCUGUCGGUGUAUACGCUCUGCGCCUCCAAAGACGACCAUUCGUUUUUCUCCACAGAGAAAAACAAAAUAAAAUCAGGGCGAAAAAAUUUAGUUUAAGAAACCCUAAUUGUUAAACACUCUGAUUUAAAAAGAAUAUUUUCGUAAUUAAACACUCUAAUUUCUCUGACAUAAUCUUUUGUGUUUUUUCUUGGGCUCUGUAAACGUAUCUGAUCAUAUUAAGACACCACUGUCGUGGUUUGAAUUAUUCCUCUUCGUCUUCUUUGAACUGAGGUCGUUAGAUGAGUUCAGUUGCUGUCGCUUUACUUGAUGGGUUCCUUUCGCUUUCGCUAGAGAACUUUGGAGGGAUUUAUGCUGGGUCCUUUGCUUCCUCUUCACUAUGGUGAGUUAGUAUUUUCUCUUUCUCACUUUUCUUUUCUUUUUCCGCUUAUUUUUCUUUUUGAAUUUGGGGAAAGUUGGGUACUUCUGAUCAAUGGGUUUUGAGUAAUGUGUUCUGCGUGCAUUUCGUGGUUAGAUUUUUUUUUUUUUGUAAUUAUUUUUUUAUUUGAGGCUCUUAUUCGCUCGAGAGAAAUUUUGGAGCAAAGUAAUUUGUAUAUUACUAGAGUCAAAUGAGAAUAUAUGUGUAUAUUUGGACUUCAAAUUUAGUCAUUUAGUCGUUUCCCUUUUGUUUGACUUGUUGCUUCGCGAGAUUUAGGGCAAACAUGCUCCGAAAGGAGCAACUUUUUUGGCCCAUAUGUAUGGAAGUUAAUUUUGUUGUUCUAGAAAUUUCUUCAUGCUUUGUGAAAGUUCUGAAAGGGAGACAAAUUUGGCCUAUUUUUUAUGUAAGUUGAUACUGAUACUAUUGAAAGGAUCUUGUCUGCUUGGUGUGUAAUUGCUAUAGUAUGAGGUUGUGUGAUUAACCUUACUAAGUGGCAUUUUAGCUGACUAUACAUAUUUUGUUCUCAAUUAUGUGCUUAUCCUCAGACAAAAUCUAUUAUACUGACUUCCCUCUCAGUUUCUUCCUAAAUACCACUGUGGAUAAACGAAUACAUACUUGUAAUGUGUUUGCUUGAUGUUUGUGGCAUUUCCACCUAUCAGUUAUUCAGCUUCGGUAGUUUAGUUUGAGUUGCUUGCUUUUCUUAUUGUUCUCUUCAUACUUCAUAUGUUUUCACAUUUUUUUAUAAGCAUAAGCAACCUAUAUAAAACUUUUGGUCUAAGAAAGGUUGAAACAUAAAGAUUUGCCAUUCUGCUGGAGAGCAAACAUUAGUAUGCUUCACUGGGAAAACGAUUUUACGUUUAAUUCGUUUAGAAAAAGUGGUCUUUUUUGCUUGAUACUAUUAGUUUGUGGGUGCUUCAAUGAUAUUGAUGCUGAAUUGGUAAGCUUGAACUUAGUUGUUGGUUGUAUGCAUAUAGAUGACCCUGAGUUGGUUAAGUUGGGAUGAAAUUCAAAUCAAUUUAUACUUCCAAUCUAUGUGCACUCCUCUUGUUGUUUUUUUCUUUACUAAUCCAAUAUGUCAUGUUCUUCAGUGUGCAUGUAAAUAAUAAAACUCAUCAUUCAACACCACAUUAUGUUACUACCUUGCUGUGAAGCAAGAGAUAUGUCAUGUGCUAUCUUUCCUUGUUACUGGGUGAAACCACUAGGAUCUGAAUGAGGGACUUUAUAGAAAUGUUAUUUCUUAGAAUGGAGUAACUUUGGCUGCAUGUGAUGUGGGUGCGUGGCCAUUACCUAUUUUAUGUCAACCGUUUAUGAAAUUUCAUAAACACAUUGCAGUAACCUACACAUUUGGUGUUGCAGAUGACUAUUUGUCAAACAUGUGGUGACAGAGGCUUCUCCAAUGCCUUAAUUUUUUGUCACGAAUGCCAGGUUUACGCUGUGCAUCGGUAAGUAGCACUGUUGGCCAUUUGAUCUGUUUGUGCUAUUAGCCAGAGCAGUGAUGCUGGGUGAUAGGUUUCACAAUGACAUGAAGUAAGCUGGUCUGAUUAUAUUAUUUGCCCUUUCUUUUACCCCAGCUAUUGCUUAGAUGUAUUGCCAGCAACUUUUGAUGAAUAUGUGGUCUGGUUAUGUGAGGAUUGUGAAUCAAAGACUCUACAACUGUCCUUUCCUGAUGAGCGUAGCCCUUUCCAAGUCAGGGAAAAUGACUUUGAAAGUUUUGGAAGUGUUCAAGUGAAGAAAAAGAAAAAUGUCAAGAAAAAAUUGAAAAAGAAAUCCAAGAGAAAAGACAAUACUCAACGAGGUAACUCAGCAGUUAUAGGACAUGGAAAAAGCUCCUCUCUUCAACCUCAAGAGGUGCAUUGCUCAGAGAAUAGUGAGAGAGAUCAAGAAUUUGUAAGGCAAGAUGUAUUGAAUGACUGCAACUUUGAUGAAGCGGUCGAAUCUCUUCAGAGUAAAAACUCUCAACUGGAUCUUGGAGACUUUAAACCAGUUGAGAUGAGUUGCUGUGAGGAUGGAGAGAUAGAUGAGAAGCAUGGAAGACAGGAUCUUUUGGGUGAAGCCGACUUCCUUGAAGAGGGAGAAUUUCUUAAAACUGAAAAAUCUCUAGUAGCUGUACCCCUGAAGGCUAGUUCUUUGUAUGAGGAGAUCAAUCAGAAGCUUGUAAGGCAGAACAUUCUGCAUGAUGAUUUUGUCUAUGAAGACGCUAAAAGACUGAAUGGUUUAAAUAAGAGAUGUGUCCACGAAGAUAGCAAUCCUCCUAAAAUAAAUGACAAUCAACUGGCUAGAUUUGAUAUCCAUCCACUUGCAGUGGACUACAGCAUGGAUGGAGAGAAAGAUAAUAACCUUGGGAGAUGGAAUAAUUUGGAUGAAGGCAGUUGUUGCGAGGAGGCUGAACCUGAAAACCGUCAGCUAGUUAUUUGUGAUCCCUCAAACAUUUUAGAACAGAAUUUUGCUGUCCGUGCACAGCCAAUAAUAGAUCAAAUUUGGAGGUAAGAUGCCCCCCAACCCCCCACCUAAAAAAAAAAAUCUCUCUUUUCUCAAAAAUUAUUUUGGUAAAUGAGAGUUGGUUUGUUUGUUUAACAGGGGAAGCUUGAGCGUUUUGGGUAAACAUUUUGGUACAGUUGGACUUGUUGCUCAUUUAUCUAACUUGGCAGGCUCUAGUGUAUAUGAGGAAGCAAAAUCAUUUCCAACAUUGCUUUCACCAGAAUUACGACCGAGGUCUGCUAUCUGGCCUAAAAGUUUUGCAAAUAAAGGACCAAGUGAUGAGAAUAUCGCUCUUUUCUUUUUUCCUGACAAUGACAGGUGGCAGUUUCAACAUAUAUUCAAUACCUUUAUGUCUUGGUUUUCUCUUUUCAGUUCCUUCUAAAGAUUUGUCUGCUGUUAUAUUAGGAAUGAAAAGAAAUAUGACAGCUUAGUGAAUGACAUGAUCCACCAUGACCGAGCCAUGAGAGCUGUUCUUCAAAAUGCAGAACUCCUGAUUUUCACUUCUACCACACUGCCAAUAGAUUUUUGGAGUAAGGCCAAUAAUUUAUUUGCCGAAAAGUUCUUCUGCCUCUAUAUUUUCAAAGAUCAUGGAUUUAAUCUUCCUCUUCACAAAUUCAUUUGCAGGAUUCAAAGCGAAAUUUUUCUUGUGGGGAGUAUUCAAGGGAAAGCAGCCACUGCGCAAAGCUGGUGAUGCAGCUUCUGUGGAGGAGAAAAGCCUCGUCAAGACCUUAACUUGUGAUAGACACAAGAGUCCUGUUAGUCCAUUAAGCAAUGGUAGUUAUGGAUGUGGCUCUAUUUCUUCUGCACUUUGUCCAUCAACACUUUGAGCUGUUAAUAUAAUAUAUAUGGUGGCUAGUUUCUGCUAGUGGCAAUGCCCAUUUCAACUGUACAAAGGAUAAUAAAACUUGUCAAUCGUCAUUCAGCUAUUUUUUGUGGGGAGGUGUUGCUGUCUUGCUAUUAUUGUGGAAUUAAGAGUAAGGUAACAUUUUUGUUACAAAUUAAAAUUUAAGAAUACUGAAGUUUUUUGGUGUUAUGUGGAGGUACCAUGGGUGAAAUCAACCCUCAAUAAGUACAUAAUCGUGGUUGAAUGUAUUUUGGCAUUAAUUAAAUCAGCUUUAUCAUUUUCUUUUAAAUCAAAGCUUAAAAUUAAGCUACGCAUGACAAGGGUUGGAUUCUAAAUAGGAGUUAGAAUUGAAAUUAAAUCUAUUAAAAUCAAAAUCGAAUCAAAUCAUUGUCAAUUAUAAAUCUUGGUUUCAAAAUGCUCCUUCUGUUUCAUUUUGUUUGUCCCAUUUUAUUUGCUUGUUAUUCCUUUUCUGGAUGUCUCAAAAUGUUUGCAAAGUUAUUAAAUUUGUAUGUAUAAAUAAUUAAUUUUCUCAUAAUAACGUUUAUAAAAGAGUUUUUAGUAUUUUAAUGUGUUAUUAAGCAUAAAGAAAAGCAAAAUAAUUUUUAUUGACUAAAUUCUCAAUAUACCACACAAAUAAAAUGGGACGGAGAAAGUAUAAAAAAAUUGGUGGAUUGUGGUUUGCUUCUCUUUUCUUUUUGGUGAAACCAAACUUCCUUCUUAGUUUAACACAAUAUAAACUAUGUUCCUGUUGAUCUAUUUAUUUUUAGUUACCUAUAUAAAUUAACUGAAAAAAUUAACAAUAAUUUCCUCUUUUUUUUUUAGAAGAAAAUGAAAAUUCAUUAAUUAAUCAAAGCAUCCAGCAUAAUAAAAGAUUCAACAUGAUCUGGAAGAACAUUCCAAACCUUAAAACAAGCUUCUAAAUAAGCGACCUUAGCCAAGCUAUGAGCAGUCUUGUUAGCAUGUCGACAAACCCAAGCAAUACCAAUCACAUUUGCUUUGAGAAAAGGCCCUUACAGUCAGCAGCCAAGGCCCCAAAUUCAGAUAUGUCAGUAAGUAGAAUCUUGAAUAGCAGUAACUAUUUCCUGCGCAUUAACGUCCAACAUAACUGGACCAAGCUGCUGAUGUUUCAACUAAGAUAAUACCUCCCUCAGACCCAAUACUUCAGCAAAACGUGGGGACCGGAUUCCUGGGAUAAAACCAGAAACUACAGUCACUACAUGGCCAAAACUAUUUUUGAACACUGCUGCAAACCCCGCCGCAUUACCAUCUUGAGUAAAUGCAGCAUCUAGAUUACCCCUAAUAACUCCAUGGAUUGGGGCCUGCCACAACUUAGAAGUACGAACAGUGUUACCAUGAGCCUCCCUUAACCGUGCUACAGCUCUCCAAUCCAUCAAAAGGUUUGCUGCCAAAUUACAAAUGACCGAAGCAUCAACCUGCACCUACUGCCAGAUAUGUUUAUUUCUAAAAUACCAUUUGUACCAAAGCAAAAAUACUCAAUUCAGCUAGUUUUUCAAGUCAUAGAACCUUCGAUACACCCAAAAACAAGUCACUAAAAUCAAUAAAAGGCAUAUUCAACUAGUGCAACCCAUAAAAAGACAGACAUGCAGAUGCAGAAGAACACACCACCAAAGCAUGAAACAAAGAUUCAGGUAACCCAACAAACAUCACAAUAUGCACAAACAUCACAAUCCCUCAGCACAAAGAAUGAAAAGGUAAGGAGAAAGGGGGUCUCCUUGCCUAAUACCCCUUUCUGGGAUGAUCGGUCCAACCUGAGUCCCGUUAUACACCAUCGAAUACCGCAGAGAAGAAACACAUAACAACAUCCACUGUACCCAUUCGUCACAAAAACCUAUACGUCUCAUAACUGCCUCCAAAUACCCCCAAUGGUCUCUGUUGUAAGCUUUGCUAAUAUCAAUCUUCAGAGUAACUGACCCUCUUUUUCCGUUCACUCUCCUUUUCAUAGAAUGAAUUAAUUCAAAAGCAAUAAUAAGGUUGUAUUCCACGCAUCAAUUGUUAAGCUCUCAGAAAUUUGAGGUGUAAUAAAUUAUAAAUUAGUCUUUUUUGGUUUAAUUGAAAAUAUUUAUAUUGGUGGAGAGAUAAUUAUAGUUGGAUUAAGAUAAUGGAAUCCUAGUUUAUUCGUUAGUUAAAGUUUGUUUUGGGAUCUACUACCUUUUAUUUUAGUUUUUUAGUGUAUAUUAUUAUUGUAUAUUAAUAGUGCCCAUGUAGAAAUCUGCAGAACAUAAACCAAAAAAAGGAAAAAAAAAAAAAAAAAGAAGACCUUAAGUCUGCAAUCACGAUGUCGGUAAGAGAAUGAUAAAUAGUUAUAAUUGAAUGAGAUAUUAUAUUAUCUAUUGCAUAUAUGUUGGGUAGAUAUUGUUUCUUGAGUAGGAAGUUUGAUCCUUUUAUAUAUAUAGGUAGAAAGAUUUUGAUUAAAAUUGUAGUUGGAAUCCUUAUUGGAUACGUAUUUGUGAAGAAAUAAGAAUAAAAUCUCCUAAUCCUAUUCUGAUUAUAUCUGAAUUAUAAUAUUUGGUCUUAAAAUAUAAUUAGUCUUAUAUGUAAAUUACAGCUAAAUCUCUGAUAAAUAUUUUUAUUCUAUCAAAUAUAUUAAUAAUAGCAGAAAAUAAUGAAUUAAUAAUAGCACGUGUUUGAAGAAAAAUUAGAUGAUGCAAUUUGAUAGGACUGAAAAUUGAAUAUAUUUGUUGAUGACAACAAAUUUUAUUAGAUGAAUGAAUUAUUUCUAUCCAUUGACAUAUGGAUUUUUCUUCACCUUAUUAGAAGGAUUGAAAUUUUAGGAACAAAAGUAUAAAAAUACAAAAUAUAUUUUUUUAUAAAUAUUUUAGUAUUAUAUGAAUGAUUUAGUUUUAAUCAAACUUAAGAAAUAAAUUUAAUAUUAUAUUAUAUACAAGUGAAAGACUAUAUGUGACUCAGCCUUACCGCGUGAUAUCUUAAAUUACUUAAGUAUAAAAAUCAAAUAAUCAACAAAAGAUCAAAGCCUUAAAUAAAUUUAGCUGAAUAACUAAGUCUGAUUGACACAUUCUACUGUAUAAUAAAAAGAAAUUAUACAGUAGAGAGAGAUAAUUAGAAAUUUAGUGUUGACAAAGUUACUUGAAUGUUUCCAUAUGCAUGUUUGUCAGGCUGACAUAAGGUAUGCAUAAUGAUGGGUUUAAUUAAUUAAUUAAUUAAAUAUUAAUCCAGGCUGUUAAUGUCAUGACAACCAAAAUCUAACUUUAGUUUUUAAUAAUUACGACAACUUGAUUAGUAUAAUAAUCUCAAUUCAAUCUUCCAAGGCCUGGUUUUUCUUCCCUUUCCCUGUUCUUAUUUAACCACUCCCAUUUAGGCUUUUUCAAUAAUAUAUAAUAAGGCUGCAAAAAAAUUGGAGUUCUUUUGUCGUCUUGUGGCCCCAAAUAAAAUGCAUCUCUUGAAACUCCAGGUUUGGAGCACUAAUGCUUUGUCGUUUUGGGCAGAAAAAAAUAAAAGAAAUAUUUAUGAUUAUAGAUUGUGUGAAAAAAAUGUUUCUUUGGGAAUAAUCAUACCGACCCAUUCAUCCACGUCUGCAUGAUAUAUUUAAAAGUAUUGUUUUUAAUCUAAAUUUAAUUUUGAUUAAUAAGAAAAGAAAGUUAUUUUAUUUUUAUUAAUUUAAUUAACUCCAUUGAAUAUGCUGAUUAAAAAUGGGUUAAAUUUAAAGGAUUAAUAUAUACAAUAAUUUCUUUUUAAUUUAUUUUGGAAUAUGGACAUGAUAUCAUGUUAAAAUAAAUUUCAUUGAAAUCAAGGUCAAUGGUUAAAAGCAGGCCAAGCUAGCUGCCCUAAAAGAUGGGUUUGGUUGAAUCUUUUAAUCCAAAAACAACGUUAAUUGUUAAUUACUCGUAAUUUAAUUUAUUUGCAUUAUUUAUCUAGUAGGAAGUUUUGAUUUCUUUUUCUGCAAUUAUAGAUGGAACAGAAUAUAUAUCAAGGCACAUCACUCUUUUGUCGUAUCUCACUAUCUUUGUAUAAUUUAUCUUAUAUAUUAUGUCCAAUAACUAAAAGGAAAGAAUUUAAAUUAAUCCUAAGUUUAAUCAAAUUAGCACAUGAUUAAGAAUCUUGUAUUCAAAAACUAAUUAUUAGGUCCUUAAUUUGUAAUUGCAUUAGUACUUUAGCCCUUCUGUUUUGAAAUCCUUUUUUUAUAAAGGCUAAUUUCUUUUUUUCUUUUUAAUUAAUUGACAGUCAAAAGAGCCUAUUUUAAACGAAAUGGACAAAAUAUUAACAAAAUUAUAACUUAAGAAUCUCUAGUUACAUAUUUGAAAAUAUAAACUUUAUAUAAUAAUUUUAUUAUAAUUUAGAGACGAAUUUAUUUGUUUUUCUUACUAAAAUGUCAAAAGAAAAGAAAUAAAAAGACACAAUUUCUUUCCUUUUAAAUUGAAAAAAUAGCUUAACCUACCUUCUCAUGACACCAUAAUUGAUGUAGUUCUAUUGCUAUCUUUAUAUGAAUGAUGGUCAUAAUUCUUUCUUAAUGUAAAUACUAUAUAGGAAUAAGGCUUAUGAAUAAUAAAAUUAGAAUUAGUAGAUAAUCUUGGUUGGAUUUGUUUUGAAUUAAAGGUAAUUAAUUAAUUCAAAUUUAUCAUUUUGUUUUAAAUAAAUUCUCAAAACAUAUUCUUUUAAUUUCAUCAAAUUUGUCAGCUUUUGACUUUUUACAAAAAUAAAGAAAACUAUAGAAUCACCUCAAUUAUUCUAAUUUCUCAAAGUGAUAAAUAUUUAUGAACAAAAAACUUAUUUUAAUAUUUACAUUAUGAAUUUGUAUUGUUGAAUUGUUGAAUACAAUGUGAAAAAUUUGGAUCUAUUUAAUCCAUGUGAUUGGGCAAAAUUUAAUUAAUUAACAACCUAAUAUAUAAAUCUGGGUAGCUGCCGAAGCUACAUUGAUAUUGACAAACUUUUGCUCACAAAAUGUUACAUUUUCAUAGUAUUGAAAGACUCAAACAUAAGAAAAUUGGAAUAGAAGGUCAACAAAUUGAGGAACCAAAAUGUUAUUAUUGUUUUAAAUUACAUGCCAUAGGGUACAUGACAAAAGAAUGGUAUCAGAAAAAUUAAAAAAAAAAUUAAAAAAAGGUCCUUAACAAAGUACAAUAGAGCAAAAACUUGCCAAUCAAUGGACCCACUAAAAUUAAAAUUAGAAGAAAAAAAAAAAAAAAACAUAAUGCCAUUAACAAGUCUCCAACUUGCUAACCUACCAAAAGAAAAAAGAUCAUCAAAUUUCCACUAUUUGCACUAUUACCCCUCCUCUUCUUCUCUUCUUCUCUGUCAUCUCUCCACCAUGAAGUAUGAAGAAGAUGAUAAUAAAAACCAAAAAACAAUAUAACUAACAAGAAAAUAUAUAAAACAAAAGAAAACCCUAAUCAUUUCUAAAAUGUAUUCCUUAAAAAAUCAAAAAUCGAAAUUGAAAUUGAAAUUGAAAUUAUUGAAUAAGUCUAUAGAUGGAGUUGGAGAAGCCAUUAAGCGAGGAGAUAGGAAAGUGGAAGGACUAGGCAUGAAACUUCCUUCCAUAAAAUUUCUAUUAUGAAGAACCGGACUCAAGUCAUGGAAGAAGCUAACCAUAUUUGGAUCCGAUUGCGGAGAAAAAAAAUUCUGAUGUAUUGGAGGAAGCGAAGCCGGCCCCGGUGAUAAAAUCCCAGGUGGAAGCAAAUUACCUGUUGGUGUUGAUGAUAAUAAUGAUCUUUCCAUUACUUGACUCAUUUCAAUUCCUUCCAAGAAACUCAUAUCACCAGUGAAUGUCUGUUUAAUAUUAUUCUCUUUAGGUGACUUAGCUUUUUCUAUCGUUGCAUACCUCGCUGCCGGCGAUAUUGCACCACCGUCAUCGUUAAAGGGAUUAGGAGGUGUAUAAGUAGUAGCAGUGGAGUUCGAAGAAGAGGAAGAAGAGCCAGUUAGGCGUUGAACUAGAGUCAUGAAGUCAUUAGGGUUUGUAUGAAUAACUUUUGGUGAAACUGUGUAGAUUAUUAUAGGUUGCCGUGGCUGCUGGUAGUGAUGGUGUGGUUGUUGCUGUGAUGGUUGUGGUGCUACGGGUGGUUUCUUGAUUUUGUGAGAAUCUUUACGGACUUUUAAAGCUGGUGGUCUUGGACCCUGAAGUUCUUUUCUUGGAGAUCUGGCCACUGGGAAAUCUGAAGAAUCCAUUCUUGAUUUUGAAUCUUGAUUUAGACGGAAGAUAUUGCUAAAGGGAGAAGAAGAAGAAGAAGAAGAAGAAGAAGAAGAAGGAGAUGGCGAGGAUGAGGACAACAAAAGCAUUAUAUUGCUUUGAAUAAUCUGAAAGGAGUUUUUAUAAGGGGAUUGAGAUGGAUAGAAAUAUUUAAAGAGAGAACAAGUCAAGGGAAAUGAAAAUAGUAAAAUAAUUAAUAUUAUAAGAGAAUAAAAAAAUAGAAAAGAAAAGAGUAAAGUAAUAAGAGUACCUGUAAAGUGAUAUUUUAGUAAGACAUGGCCGGUUUCGUGUUGUGCUAUUAAUGUUUGUUUGAACAUGUCCCAAACUCUCAAGUCAUAAGCAUUUCUUGAAUGUAUAUCUGGAAAGAGUCAUAUGCCACGUCCACGAGGGACGAUCACUUAGAAUGUCCAUUUAAGCAAAUUAAGGUGUACAAUAUAUAUUCUCUCCGUCUCAUUUUAUUUGCAUAAUUUGAUAAAAUAUGUAUAUUAAAAAUUUAGUCGAUAAAAAUUAUUUUGCUUUAUUUUAUCCUUAACUCAUUAAAAUAUUAAUAAUGCAGAUUCGAGUCUGGCAAGCCCAUAAACAAAGGCAAAUCAUUAUCUCCAGAGUACUCCGUAUUCAUCAAAGUUCAAAUUCAGCGCCUCUAAGUAAGAUAUUUUAAUUGGUGAAAGGAUUUAUUUCUUAUUUUGACGAAAAUUAAAUCUUUAAUACUAGAUUAAAAAAUAGUUUAAUAUUUUUAAAUGAAAAUUUAAUACUUAUAACUUUUCAUAAAAAAAUUAAUAGGACUCUUAAGUUAUUAAUCUCUACCCUUCAAAAUUAUCAUUAACUUAUCGUAAUUUCUACUUUCGUUUGGACUAACAUUUAUGUUGAUGCAUUUAUAUAAAAUGUAUAUAAAAUAUAAAAACAAAUAAAAAUAAAAUACGUUUUACUUUUUUAGAAUUUAUAACAUAUGUUUAUUUAUUUAUUUAUUUAUUUUACAAUCAAUCAAAACUUUUGUAUCACGAAAGAUCCAAGAAAUCCAUUACUCAAAUGAAGAAAAAAAACCAAAUUUAUGGAAAUAAAAAUUUAAAUUUACGGAGCAAGAAUAAAUAUAUACACAAAUAAGAUCUAACUACCUCAUAUUAAAUAUUUUUAUUAUGAUUUCUUUGUAUUUUAUAGUAUCUAUUUUGAUUUUGCAAAAUCACUGGUAUCCGGACCCUAUUGUCAAGGAUAGAUUGAUCCGGCUCGGGGGUUAGUUACAAUUAAAACUGUUCGCCCCUUCCCUCGCUGCAAAUGUAUUUAGUGAAUAUCAAAUCUAAGAAUUCUGCCCACAUGCCAACCUGAGUUGCCAACUGAGCCACAACCCGUAAGUUAUAGUAUCUAUUUUUAUUAAUUUAAAAUUUAAUCCAUUUAAUUAUUCAUUUUUUUGUUAGCUAAUUUUAAAGAAAAAUUAAAUAAAUAUCAUUUUAGACUAAUGCGAAUUUUUACUUUUGUACAGUAAAUAUAUAGACAAUAAUACUGGAAAAAUCCUAUUAUUUUCACUUAACUGAAAAUUAAAGAAAAUAAGAAAUCUGUAUCAUCUAUACAAAUUAAUUCAAUAACCUAACAUGCUCAAUUGAAUAUGAAAAUAAUAAAAAAAUUCAGUAACUAUUUGUUUCAGAUCCAAAAUAAUAAAAUAAAAUCUCCUCAAAUUUUAAUAAUAAGUUUCAUAGUAUCAUCAUCAAUGUAAAAAUUUAAAAGAGAGGCCAUGCAUAUGUACAUAAAAUUGACAAACUAACAAAAAAAAAAAAAAAAUUCCAUUUUCAAUUUCUAAAGUUGCUUGCAGUAGAAUAGCAUAAUGCGAAGGACCAUUUGGCCCCAUCAAGAGGCGUAAUUACAUAUAUAUAAUAUUAUUCUACUUUUACAUUGGAAAAAAAAAUGUGAAAUAUAAGUAGAGUGUGUUAUAUUUUUUAAAUGAAUAAUUAUAAUUAGAUGUAUGCUUGGAUUUAUUAUAUAAGUUCACACAUGAAUGAUUGAAUUAUGCAAGAUUCUAGGACUAAAAAUAGUUUUUAUGUGUGUGAGUGACCCAAUGAUGAUGUGAGUUGUGACUCCUCUAACACUAAAUAAAUAAAUAAACUAAAUAAAUUUUUGUUAAAAAAAUAAAAAAAUAAAAAAAAUAAAAAUAAAAGAAAGAAGAGAGGCUUCUCUAACUCUAACUUCCAAGGUGAAUGAUGGAGGUAUGAGUCAUGGUGCAAGUUGACAUGGAGGCCCAUCACACUUGUGAAAUUUUGUUUCUAACCCAAUCAACAAUUGCUGCACCACCAAAGAAAAACUUUUGCAUUUAAUGACAUUUAUGUGGUCAUUGGCUUUGCCUGCAAUUUUUUUUAAUUAUUAGAAGAAAUUAGUGGGAUUCCGCACGUUGUUCCGAUUUAAUAUAUACUCUUUUAUUUUAAGGAAAUUUCCUUUUUGAGCGUAACUUUUAUAUAGAGAAAUAUGAUUGCAGAAUACCAUCGGUGAUGAUGAUAGAAAUUCUUUUUUCUUGCCAAUUAUUAAUAAUAUGGUUCGAGAAUAUAUCGGGGAAUUAUAUUUCUAAAAGUAUGGAGAAUAAAGAGAAUCUAUUUUUAAAAUUCCAAUAAGAAAAUUUUGAUUUGAAGUUUCUAUAAAUAUCUAAUUUAAAUUGAUUAAAUUUGAUAUGACCGAAUAUUUAUCUUUUUAAAAAUUAUAUAUUUAGUAUAUAAUGAAAAUGAUAAUAGUAAUAAUAAUAUGAAUGAUUAUAUCAAGGAAUGAUGCGUCUCUACUAAAAAAAAAAACAAGAGAGGGAUAAGGAUUAAUUUGGUCUUACUUGACUUGAACAAAUUACAAUGAUUACUUAAAUAAUCAUUUAAAGUUGAUCUUUGUAAUUAAAGGACACUUAAGAGAGAGCUUAAUUAAUUAUGUUAUUCAUCCAUCUAACGGCGUCAUUUCGAAUAGCAUCCUACUAAUAAUCUCAAAGAAAGGGAGUUCAUGAUGAAUAAAUUAUAUCAUAAAAAAGCCUUCAGUAUGCAUACAUCUUAGGCUAAAUUGGAUUAUUUCAUAAAUGUAAAAUAAUUAUAUUUUUUAUGUAACGAAAAUUUAUAAAGAAAUGAAAACUCUUAAUUUUUUAUAGUAUGAGAAAAUUCAAUUAUUGACUAUUGGCUAAUGACAAGUGGCAUAAAAUAUUAUUUUAUUAAUUGAUUUAGAAGGAAAAAUGACUAAAAUUUAUAGUUGAAAUAUUCAAAAAUAAAAAUUACGAUUUAAUAGAAAUUUGCAGGGUGUACAAGAAUGAAAAGUCUAAAAUACUCCUAAUUUACUUUUGUAUUUCCCGUUAAUAUGGUACUACAAUAGAUUUUAUUUUAUUUUAUUUUCCGUUAAAAAGAGAGUAUUAAAAUUUUAAAAAAUGAUUAAAUUGUUAUAAGUAAAUGAGAGAAUAAAAAAAAAUAUAACAUUAUAAAAUGGAAGAGAUCGAGAGUAUAUAUAAUUAAAUUAAAAAAUGAUACGUGUAAUAAAUUUAUUAUGGACUUAUUAAUUCGUAGAAAAAAAGAAAUUAAAGAGUUUUAUCAUUAGAAAUAAGAAAUAAGAAAUAAAGAGUUUGAUCAUUAAUUCAAUAAACAUUAUUAUUGUAUUAUUAACAAAUAAUUGGCAUCUAAAAUAUUAAGUAGAAAAAAAGAAAAGAAAAGGUAUCAUGAUCUAUAAUAAAAAAAAUGAAAUGAAGAAUUUUUAAAUUAAACAUAUUAUUGGCUAUUAGGUAUUGGAAAAAGAAAAUGAAGAGUAAUUUUAGAAGAUAGUUUUUUUAAAUAAGGAGAACUAAAUUAAAAAAAAAAAGUUUUAAGAAAUAAAAUAUUGGUUUGUAACCUUUGUUUUGGAAUCAACGGCUAAUGCAUUAUGGAUGGAGGCGGGAUGGAGAUUACAUAGUUUCCAGUCUUGUCUCAAAAUCAAGAUAUCAAAAUUAGAGUUUCAGUCUGACCUAUUUUAAGAGACGGGAUGAAAUGAAAUGAAUCAAAUCAAGGUCAAAGAUUUUUAAUAUUUUAAUAAAUUAUUCAAUUAAAAUAAAACCUACAUUAAAAACCUAUUCAAUUAAUUAAUUCAUUUUAUAUGUAGAAGAAUCUAUAAAUAAUUUUGCUUCAUAUUUUUACAAUAAUAAGUGUUUGAUAUCGUAAAAAAAAAAAAAAAAACUGCAAUUACACCGAUGAAAUUAAUUUUUAUGAAUAUGAUUUGACAUUCAAAAAAGAAUAUAAUUGAAAUUUAGAUAAAAUGAUAUAACGGAAAUAGCCGUCUCUUAAAUAGAUCUUGAAUUAAUAUGGAUUAUUUUAAUAGAAGAAUCGGGAGACUAUGGCCUCAGGUAGGAUUCUCCCUUGUCAACCAAUAUCCUAGGUGCGGCUUUUCCCCCAAAGUUCGAGAUUUCGAACCUCCAACCCUAUGACUGAUCCACUAAUCCCCGAAGUCAUCUGGCAACUUUUCAAACCAUGAUGUACCUUCAAACUAAUUUUGAAGAUCUUAUGUGCAAGGCCUUCCCAAUCACACUCAAAGGGGCAACCCAAGAGUGGUAUUAGACUCUUAAAACAGGAUCCAUCCAAUCGUUCUCCCAAUUGGCUACCACAUUCUGAGGUUGGUUCAUCACAAGUGUGCCAUCCAGGAAAAUCUCGUCUAAUCUGAUAAGGAUCUGGACCUCUAAUUUCGCCCCAAAAGCUAGCUCAUAGGGGAAGGACUGAACCCAGCCUUAUACACUAGCCCAGGAUGUACUCCACGGGCGAUGUGGGACGCGUCAUCCCCACUCCUAUAAGACUUGACUGCCUCAGUCAGCGUUCUGACGAACCCCAUGAGACACCGACCCUACGGAGCCAGAGCUCUGAUACCAAAUGAUAAGGAUCUAGACCCCUAACUUUGCCCUAAAAGCUAGCUCGUAAGGGAAGGACUGAACCUAGCCUUAUACAUUAGCCCAAGAUGUACUCCGUGGGCGAUGUGGGAUGCAUCAUAAUCUAAUAGAUCUAAAGAGAGAAGAUGACGAGACAUUGAGAUAAUAUGUCUCCAUAUUCCAAAGAACGGUGAUACAGAUUAAGAACUUGAAUGAUGAAGUUGCCAUUAGUGCCAUGGCGAAGAAUUUCAAAUAUAACAAGCAAUUCGAGAGUUCGAGUAUAGACCCUCCUCUAACUUUUCCUGCACUCAUGGCACAAGCUCACAAAUAUACAAAUCUGGAUGAAGCCUAUGAAGCUCAAUAUCAAAGAUCACAGGAGGAAGAAAAAUCUCAAGCAUAGAAGACACCUUUCUCCAAUCAGGAGACGUUCACCUAAGAGAAGAUCAUCUCUCGCCUCUCCGGUAUCCAUGAGCUAGCUACACUAUUAAAGCACCCUACUUAAGAAAAGAUAGAUCACAAUAAGACCAAGAGUUCAACCCCUUAAACAACCCAGCUCAGAAGUAUAGUCCUGGGUUAGGGAUCAUUGAAAUAAGGUUCAACUCAUCAUGUACCUAACUCUAAAAUUUCACUUUAGUAAUAAUGAGGUUGUUGCAAUAAAGGGAGAUCGAAAGAUGGCUCGGGAAGCAUACACGAUUGCACUCAAAGGGAUACCCCUCUCUACCCAUAAUGUGGAUGUCAAAUGACAAUAAAUACACAAUGUCAGAAGAGCAUCAUCCUUUUGACAUACCUAGAGAAAGCUCGGAGCUAAACCCAGCACCUGGGGGCAAACUCACCAAAUGGGAGGUGGAGCCGGAAAGAUAUAUGACCUUGGGUGCCGAACUACCCAUAAAAGUACAUACAAGCUUAAGAAAAUUCAUGGAGCCGAACUACUUCGGACAUGAAAUUCAGAUAAUCUAAAGAAGGCUUACUGUAUUUCCACUCAAUAAGAUGUAAAGUGACUUUAAAUUAAGAUAAUAAAGAGACCUCAGUUUUUUUUCACUUAAUACACCAUGGCUUAUAAAGAAAAGAGAGGCAUGAUGUAUUAAUUUUUUUCCUGAAGGAUCUUACUUAGAAAUUUUUGCUAUUCCUUUACUUAUUUUAUAACCAAGUCCAUAAUUUCAGACAUACUCAGUUCUCCAGUUCGGAUUUAAGCAGUCCAUAACCAAGUCCAUCAGUUUGGACAUACUCGAUUCCAUCAUUACGGACAUACUUGGUUCUCCAUUCGGACUUAAGCAGUCCAUAUCCAAGUCCAUCAGUUCGGACUUAAGCGGUCCUACACCUAAGUCCAUUAGUUUGGACAUACAUAGUUCGUCAAUUCGGACCCAAGUGUUCCUAUACCUAAGUCCAUCAGUUCGGACAUACAUAGUUCUCCAGUUUGGAACUAAGCGGUCCUAUACCUAAGUCUAUUAGUUUGGAUAUACAUAGUUCUCGAAUUUGGACUUAAGCAGUCCUUUAAUUAAGUCCAUCAGUUCAGACAUACAUCGUUCUUCAGUUCGACUUAAGCGGUCCUUUGAUUAAGUCCAUUAGUUCGAACAUACAUAGUUUGUCAGUUCGGACCUAAGCGGUUUUAUACCUAAGUCCAUGAGUUUGGACAUAUAUAAUUCGCCAGCUCAAACCUAAGCGGUCCUAUACCUUAGUCUAUGAGUUCUGACAUACAUAGUUCUCCAGUUUGGACUUAAGCAGUCCUUUGGUUAAGUCCAUGAGUUCAGACACACAUAUUCCUCCAGUUCGGACUUAAGCGAUCCUUUGAUUAAGUCCAUGAGUUCGGACAUACAUAGUUUGCCAGCUCGGACCUAAGCGGUUCUAUACCUAAGUCCAUCAGUUUGGACAUACAUAAUUCUCCAGUUCGGACUCAAGCUGUCCUUAGAUUAAGUCCAUUAGUUCGGACAUACAUAGUUCGCCAGUUCGAACCUAAGCAGUCCUAUACCUAAGUUAAUCAGUUCGGACCUAAGCAGUCCUAUACUUAAGUGAAUCAGUUCGGACAUACACAGUCCUCUAGUUCGGACUUAAGCGGUUCUUUGAUUAAGUCUAUUAGUUCGGACAUACAUAGUAUGCUAGUUCGGACCUAAGCGGUCUUACACCUAAGUCCAUCAGUUCGGACAUACAUAGUUCUCCAAUUCGGACUUAAGAUCCUUUAACUAAGUUCAUCAGUUCGGACAUACAUAGUUCUCCAGCUCGAACUUAAGUGGUCCUUAGAUUAAGUCCAUUAGUUCGGAUAUACAUAAUUUGCCAGUUCGGACCUAAGCGGUCUUAUAACUAAGUCCAUUAGUUCAGAUAUAUAUAGUUUGCCAGCUCAGACCUAAGCGGUCUUAUACUUACAUCCAUCAACUCAGACAUACAUAGUUCUCUAAUUCGGACUUAAGCAGUCCUUUGAUUAGGUCCAUUAGUUUGGACAUACAUAGUUCGCUAGUUCGAACAUAAGCGGUCCUAUACCUAAGUCCGUCAGUUCGGACAUACAUAGUUCGCUAGUUCGGACAUAAGCGGUCCUAUACCUAAGUCCAUCAGUUCGGACAUACAUAGUCUUCUAGUUUGGACUUAAGUGGUCCUAUACCUAUGUCCAUUAGUUCGGACAUACAUAGUUCGCCACUUUGGACCUAAGUAGUCUUAUACCUAAGUUUUUAGUUGGGACAUACAUAAUUCGCCAAUUCGAACCUAAGCAGUCCUAUACUUAAGUCCAUCAGUUUAGACAUAUAUAAUUCUCAAAUUCGGACUUAAGAGGUCCUUUAACUAAGUCCAUCAGUUCGGACAUACAUAAUUCUCCAAUUCGGACUUAAGCGGUUCUUUGAUUAAAUUCAUUAGUUCGAACAUACAUAGUUCGCUAAUUCGGACCAAAGCGGUCAUAUACCUAAGUCCAUGAGUUUAGACAUACAUAGUUCGUCAGCUUGGACCUAAGCAGUCUUAUACCUAAGUCCAUCAGCUCGAACAUCCAUAGUUUUUAAGGUCGGACUUAAGCAGUCAUUUAAUUAAGUCCACCAGCUCGAACAUCCAUAGUUUUUAAGUUCGGACUUAAGCAGUCAUUUAAUUAAGUCCACCAGCUCGGACUUAAGCGAUCCUUUAGUUCGGCUCGGAUUUAAGCAGUCCUCCAGCUAAGACUUAAGCAGUCCUUUAGUUAAAACUCUCCUCUUAACUCAUAAAAUUUCAAGUUAAGGCAAUUUAAACAAGUUCACACUUAGGGAUGAUAAGGACAACCUUGCUUUGACAAUUGACAUACACCACUCCGGUCCCAAUGGAAACCACUUCAUUAGAAACACUUAGAAAUUGAAAUUAUGCCAACAUUCAAAAUCAUACAAAGAGGAUAAAUAAAAGAGUUCUUCAUUAAAUAAACUGCAAGGAAGUGACUCUUAAGGUUCUCUUUAGGUAGACGAACCAUCACCCUGUUUCUCCCAAACAGAACCACUGUUGAACUAACUAGAAUAGGCAAGGAACUCCAUGCUCAAAAAGUAUCUAUAAUAAUUAGUAAUCACAGUAUAAAAAAUAAAGUAUACACAUAUAAUAUAACACAUGACAACAUCUUCUGGACAUAAACGACCAAAUAACUAAGGGGAACUACUGAUAAUAUACAAUAAUAAAAUAUAUAAAAGAAAAAUAUAAAAAGAUAUUAGACUCCUAAAUAAACUCUAAUUAACAGAUAAAUUAUGAUUCUUAUUAUCCUUAUCCAAUUAUAAUUAUCUCUUUAUCAAUAAAAAUAUUCUCGAUUAAGCCUAGAAGGGACGAAUUCUGAAUUCUCCAAACCCUCAAUUUCUGAGAGUUUAGCAAGUGAAAAAUAAGAAUGAAAAGAAAAUUAAUAAUUCAUCAUUUAUUUUCCUCCAUUAUUUUAAUUCCUCUUCUUUUCAAACAGAGUUUAAAGGUUUUAAUAAAAUGGCACACUUCUUUAAUUAUUAUUUCUAAGAGUGUAAACUAUAUAUAAAUAUUUCCAUCUGAUUCUUCAAAAAUUUUAAAAGCAGUUAGAAAUAUUUUUUAUUAGGGUAAAUUAUUUAUUUCUUGAAGUUCUCGUGAAUUUUUUUGAAUAAACUCGUAGAUUUAAUGUAUGUAUAUAGUGUGGAUCUAGUAUAAUUCAUGACUUAAGUUAAAUAUUUAACGAAUGCAAUUUUAUGAAUUGACAUAUUUAAUAAAUUAAAAUAAAAGUUAAGAAUGUUACAAGAUUUUUCAUGAAGGUAUAUAGAUGGAUUUUUAUAUAUUUACGUGGAAAUUAAGUUUUCUUUUUAGAAGAAAAAAGAAAAUUUUUGCGUUUAGGGGUCUAGAAGGGAGUUGAUGUGGCGCAUAAAUUUCGAAAUGAAAAAGACUUGGCAAUGAGUUGAAGUGUUGAACCCACAUUUCGUUGAACAAGUUGCUCCACUUUUUCCCCAUUUCUAGACAAAAAUUCCAACUUCCGAAGUUUCUAUUUGCUCCAAUUAGGACUUAGGAGUCAAUUAUCUCUGGUUUAGUCAAGAAUUGAAAGUCAAAAACAUUCUGAAAAUUAGGAAGAGCAAAAGCCUUUAAAAAAUUUCAUAAGUUUAUAAAUUAGAGGUAAUUACUAGUAAUUCAAGGAUUAAAAAAUAGGGAGUAAUAAGUUUAUUCAUAUUUAGAAAAUAUCUCUUUUAAAAAAGAAAGUUUGUUUUCCUUUAAAAUAAUUUAAGGUUAUUUGUCAUUAUUAUAGGUUUUUUUUUAUUUUUGUUGUUCAAAAACUAAAAAUAUUUUAUAGCUUUUUUCAUUUUUAUUUCUUAUAAAGUGUUUAUUUGUUUUCUACAAAUUUUGGUGGAGAAAAGUUUUUAUUAACAACUUUCCAUGUAACCAUUAAUAAAUUUUGGUGGAGAACAAAACAAGUUAUAUUUAAUGUUUGAUAUACGUAAUAGAGAGAAAAUAGGAGAGUGGGUUUCAAAAUGUAAUAAAAUUCUGUAAACCAUAAUUCAUGGUUUCAUAUAAUUUUUUUUUUAUUUAUAACGUGACGUUUAAUGAAUUAAAAAAAGAAAAUAUCAGAAUUUUGACAAGAAAAUUAAUGCCAGAAUUUCAAUUCUUAAAUUAUGAGACAGGUAUAGAUUAUUAGUUAGUGACCACAACUUUUUCAUCUCAAUUUUUUAUUUUCUAAGUGAUCAGUUUCAGUAUUUGUUAUAGGCCUCGUCCCAGAGGCAAUGGACAAAUGUGCAUGCAUGCAAUAAAUAUACGUGUGCAUACGUACACUAAUUAGGUUUUAAUACUCCUAAACGUUUAAAAUUCGUCUGAAACAAUAUUACGUACACUCAACUGGUUUUCACAUGUGCUGUGUCAGAUUUGAUGGCCUUAUAGCAAAAGUUUGAAUAACGAAAAAAAGAUAUUAUAUGUAUUGAAUGAUCCUAUUGCUAGAGUUCAAAAACUUUGGUAAUAGUAGGAUUUGGCAUCUUCAGAAUGACUUUUAAAAUAAUCCAUGUGGAGUCUAAAAUGAAUUAAUCUCUUAUUGAACUAUUAAAGAACAGAAAAAAAUAUCUUUAACAGUAAAAAAAAUAAAAAUAAAUAUUUAUAAUGCGUCAAAGGUCUAAAAUUUCUUGAUUGCUUUAAACCUGAACCUCUAAAAAAUUCUCAUAAUUGUAAUAAUAUAAGAAGGGAGGGAUUUAAAAUAAAAAUCACUUUGUACCCUUAAAAGUCAAAAAUUUAAAUUUUCAGUAUAUGGAAAUAUAAUUUUUUGAUUAUAUACAGAACCAGAAUAAAUAACCCAAAAAAAUAUAUAUAUAUGAAUCCAAGGUUUGACUAGCCCAAGUAUCAUUAAUAUAAACUUUAGGUGCAUUUAACCAAAGAUACAGCAACCAUUCUUGAAAUGGUAUGAUCAGUGGGUGUCUGUCUCUCUCUCUCUCUCUCUCUCUCUCUAUCUCUCUCUCUCUCUAUAUAUAUAUAUAUAUAUAUAUAGCAGUUUGACUUUCAGUUGUGCCAGUCAAUAGUCAAUACAUGCAUCCUUUCUUAGCUGGCUUAUUUUCACUCAAGGUCCCUCAAGUUAUGGGUAAUUUCUUUAAAGUCCUUCAUCUUAAAAUUCUCUCAAUUUUAGUGUUUUGUAACGCAAAAUCGACUCAACUGAGUUUCCCACUAAAAAUAAUUGAAAACCUGACAUGACACUAUCGCGGGACCCACUUUUUCACAAGUGACAUCUAACGUGUUAAAAGAAAUCAAAUUUAACUGCAUGACAGGAUUCCACGUGGACGUAUAUGUCCACACCCAAUUGAGCUGAGUUGGAAAUUCCAGAAUUAGCAAUAUAAAAUAAAAAAUUCACAUAUAUGUCUACAUGGAAUCCAAUCAUUUAGUUGAGUUGUAAAAUCUUUUUCUCCACAUCAGAUGCCACAUAUGAAAAAGUAAGACCCAUCAUAAUGUCAUGUCACAUUGAGACGCAUCAGAUAAAAAUAAACCUUUGGCACCUUAAGGCGGCUGUUAUUUUGUUAUCUGAAUAAUUAGUACUACUAAUUUGUUCCUUUUAAAUGGUUGGUUGAUAAGUUCGUUCCUCAAAAUAAAAAAGUUAUCAUUUUGGUUAUUAUUGGACCGUUUAGUAUUCUUGACUUAAUUGCAUUAAUAAAUCUAUUGAAAAUAAAUUAAUUAGAAGUAUAUAGUACAAUUUUAUUUAUCUGUUAAUUACGUACCCAUCGGUACAAGUAACGUAAUUAAGGGAAACAAUUUGGAAUUCUUGCAAUGUAAUUAAGCUUAAGCAUGUUUGAAAUUUUUGGAAAAGAUUACUUUUGAUUUUUUGUUUUUUUUUUUUUUUCAAGAAGAAACUGAUUCCACAAGAUUCAACCUCUACCCCGAUUGACAACUUGCAUUGACAAUGUAUUAUAGGAUUUGGACAUGCAGUCAUUAUCCAGGCUAGUUAAUUGACCAUACCUAAACAAUAUUAAACUUUCUUUUUUGUUUACGUUAGUUUGCUCAAUAAUAUAUAUUUUUUGAAUUAUUAAGGUCUCUUCUCAUCUCUUAUUUACUGUUUGAUAACAAAUUAAUAUUUUAACACGAAGAACACUAGCCCCAUGAUUCGAUUUUACCAUAAGUGUGGGAUCUAGUGUGCACUACCCAUUGGUCCAAACUGUUUUGAAUUAAGAUUUAUAAAAAUUUUUUUAUCGAUAAAAUACUUAUGUUUAGAGACUAUUAAUAUAUAAUAGAAUGUAUUUUAUUUAUUAUUUAUUUUGUAAAAAUAUGAAAUUAGAAUGAACUAAGAUGAUCCUUUAAAAAAAAAAAAAGGAAAAGAAAAGGUCUCUUUGAUUUUAACUUUUGAGUCAUUUUCUUGACCAUUAAUCUUUAAAUUAAUGAAGCAUUAAUAGAAAAUUGCUUAGGGUUGAUGGAUGUAUAAUUCAAGUCAAGCUACGAGUUGAAGACAUUUCAAGUAGACAUGGUCUCUCUGCUACUAUCAAUUUGUUCUAGUACAAUAAGGGACUUUGUCUCAGCUUCACUCAUUCUAAUUGUUAAAUUAAUAAUUUUUAAAAUUUUCCUUAUUCAGUUUUAUGUCUUUCUAGAUUGAAUAUUUAACGUGUGUGUAUAAGCAAAUUAACGUGGACUUAGUAUAUUUUUGAAGAGCGAAAACUAAUAAAUAUUUUAAUCAAUAGAAAGGAAAGACUUAGACAUUUAUUAGUGAUUUUUUAAAAUUAACUGUUCUCACUUUAUUCUUUCUUUUUUUUUCAGGAAACGGUCAAAAAUACUUUCGUUGAACUCAUAAACCGAGUCUAAGUAAAUCGAUCCUAUUAUUUUAAAUAUUUUAGAGGAAUCAUAGUUGGAUAAAGAAAAUGAGAACUGUAAAAGAGGAUAGUUCAAAUAUUUUUCAUGCAAACCGAAAUAAAUUUAAGAAUAAUUUUUUCUGAAAAAAUAAACCUAAAUUAUAUACUAAUACGAGCCUAAAUAAAAUUGUAAAAUAAGCCCAAAAAUAAAAAAUCAGAAGAGAUAACAAAAAAGAACACGUGAUUUUUAAUUUCUCAGCCUCCUCCCAGUGCCGGAUAUAGCAUGGACCAAGCCCACAGAUAUAUCAUGGACCAGAGCCUGGGCUUAAUUUAACAUAUUCGGGUUUGACCAAUUACAAAUCCAUAAAUCCGGUUCAUCAUAUGUUAUAACCCAAGACCCGAAAGAACAUCCAAACUUUUUUACUAAUCUUGCCCUAAGCUCAAUGUGUUUAGUGUUUAUGUACAAAUCUAAUGAAUUUUCAACAAAAAGACCCUGAGCAUGGGUUAGAGUAGAGCUAUAAACGAGUCUAUCCGAGUUAAACUCUAUUUAACUCGAUUCAAACUUGAAAAAUCAAGUUUGAACUUGAAUUGUUGAAUGUGUAUGUUUUAUUUUUUUUUUUAAAAAAAAGAGAAAAUUGUAUCGUUUACAAAUUUGAGUUCAAGCUCGAGAUUAAAUUGUUAAAUAAACUCAAUAAAUAAAUUUGAUUUAACUCGUUAAUAAGUUUAACAAAUUAUUGUUAAGUUUAUUGAAUAAGUUUGAAUGCGCUUUUUCUAAACCAAGUUUCAAGUAACUCAUGAAUAGCUUAAUUGAUUCACAAUUCUAAAUUAGAAAAGAGGCUUGGCACAACAAAAUCUGAUAGUUACCAGAUUGAGAGCGAUUGGCAAUUACACAAAUUUUUAUUAAUUAGAAAAAUGCAGUUUUAUUAAAAAAAUUUGCAUAGCAAAAAUAAUAUCACGACGAUUAUAGUUAUAGGAGUAAAAAAGAGUUUAUUGGUAAAAAAACAAGAGAGAGAAGAGAAUGGUCUACACGUCAUUCAUAUUACACGCUUCAAGGAAAAUUUUUAAAAAUUUCAAAUUAAUUUUCGUUUUCUUUUUUUUUAUUUAUUAAUAUUGAAAAAGAGAAUUCAAAUUUGAAUCUAUUACCAGACCCUAUAUAAACUUACCACUAGACUAUAUUUUGGUGUACUCACAAUCACGUGUAUUCGACGGCUUAUAUUGGUUUUAAUUACAUCACCUUGAGUAUUUGUGGACCGAAAGGUUCGAUUGUUCUAGAAUGGCAAUAUUCACAUUAAAAACUAUUUUUCAAAUUAUUUAAUCGGUUAUUAAUUGCAGUUUUUAAUAAAUUGGCACAAUCAGUUAAAGCAUGUAAUAUAAAUGUUAUAAAGAAUAGUUAAAAAUUCAAAAUUCUUUAAUUUUUUUUUUUUUAAAAAAGGCUUAUGCAGGAGAUAUAAAUUUCGAGGCGAGACUCUCAACUUUUUCUAUGCUUUUAAAAGUUACUAGUAUUAGAAUUCGCGCGAUGCACGGAGCAAUAUUUAAGAAUGAAAUAAAUUUUAAUAACUUCGAUAUGAACACAAUACGAAAAUUAGACGAUUGACACGAAUACGAUAUUUUUAACCCGCUUAAUAUCAUAAACAUGUUAAGUGGGACGUGUUGACUUUUAUACAAUUCGUGUAACCUGCUUAAUAUUAUAUAAAUAAGUUAAGUGGAUGUGUUGACCUAUAUAUGACUCACUUAACUUGCUUAUAAUAUUUUUAACUGUUAACCUAUUUAACUCCAAUCAUAUUUAAAAAUAAAUUUUCACACGUAAAAUUCAUAAAUUCUUCAAGAUUUAUAAUUAUAAUAAAAAAUAAUACAACAAUAAAAUUUAAAUAGGUUUUAGUUGGAGUAUUUAUAUAUAACAUUAGAAUUACUUCAUUACUCUUAAAUAAACGAGUCACUCGUUUAACCCACGUGUCAAUCUGCGACACAACACGUUUAUAUUCGUGUCAUACAUGGGUGACUUGUUUAUGACACGAACUCGUUUAACCUCAAUCCUAUCUCAUUUAUCUCACGUGUUAGGCAAAUUGUGUUCAUGUGUCAUGACCUAUUUUGACACCCCUUAGUAUGAUCUGUAUAAAAAAUUGCAUACACACUAUUAAUGCAUUUUUCAGUAGUGAUAAUAAUUUUGAGAAUUUAAAUAUUUAUAUUGAAAUAAGAAAUUAAGUAUUUUUAUUUUAUGUUUACGAUUUAUUAUAAAUAAUUGCUUAUUUAUUUGAAAUAUUAAUAUAUUAUACUUAUUUAGUAUAGUGUGUCCUAAGCGUGUGGAGCUCCUACUUUUUUUAAAAUUAUCAUAUGGCGUACGUUCCCGCAUGAUGAAAUAUUUUUUUAAUAUAUUGUUUGUAUCUUUUUUUAUUAAUGAAUUAUCAAAAAAAUAAGAAGGGACUAAAUUUUCUUUCGGAAAAACUUUUGUUACUUAUUUUUUUUUGAAUAUAAAAGAAAAAUAAAAUAAAAUUUUCUCUACAAAUUUAUUUUUAUAGUUUUUUAUUUUCCUUCUAUUUUGAAGAGAAAAUUAUCGAAAUUCUUUUCCCUUAUAUUCCUUUCUUAUUUCCAAAUAAAAUAAUUUUUCUUAUUAAUAUUAAUUUAAUUUUUUUCUCUUAUAUGAUAUUAUCUGAAAAUAUAAUUAUUUUUUUUCUUUAUAAUUCCCAUGAUGGGCAGGAUAAUAUUAAAAGAUGAAAUAAUAUUUUAUAACAUCAUUCAAAAAUAGUAAAAUUAUAUAAUAAAAUGAUAAAUUGUAUCUUAUUGAGAUAUACUGAAAAGUUGCGAUGCUAAUAUAUGUUAUCUUAAAUAUCACGCGAAGCUUUUCAUAAGGUAUGGAAUAGCAAAACUCAUGCAUGUUAUGACCUACAUAAAAAAAAUACAUACACACUAUUAAUACAUCUAUUAAUACAUUUUUAAAUAGUGGUAAUAAUUUUGAGAAUUUAACUAUUGAAAUAAUAAAUUAUGUUUUUUUAUUUUAUGUUUAUAAUUUAUUAUAAAUGAUUGUUUAUUUAUUGAAAAUAUUAAUGUAUUACUUAUCUAGUAUAGUAUGUCCUAAGCAUAUGAAUGUCCUACUUUUUAAAAAUUGUCGUAUCUUUAUGUUUCCAUAUCUCGUAUCCUGUAUCCAUGCAACCUAGCUCCUGGUAUAUGAGACUACUCCUUACACCAAACUAAUCGACCAAUGUUUUUUUUAUUACCAAUAAAAAUAAAAUAUUUUUUGUUAAUUUGUUUUUGUGUCAUUGCAAUAUGAUAUUAAGUAUUUUUUUUAUUUUAUGUUUAUGAUUUAUUAUAAAUGAUUAUUUAUUUAUUUGAAAUAUUAAUGUAUUACUUAUUUAGUGUACUAUGUCCUACAUUUUUUAAAAAUUGUCGUAUCCCGUUUCUAUGUAACAUAGCUCCUAGUACAUGAAACUAUUCUAUACACCAAGCUAAUCAACUAAGGUUUUUUUAUUAUCAAUAAAAAAUGAAGUGUUUUUUUUAAUUUGUUUUUAUGUCAUUGAAAUAAGAAUUAUUUUAUUUUGUGUUUAUAAUUUAUUAGAAAUGAUUGUUUAUUUAUUUGAAAUAUUAAUAUAUUAUUUAUUCAGUGUAUUGUGUCCUAAGCGUGUGGAUGUCCUACCUUUCUUAAAAAAUUAUCGCAUCUCAUACGUUCUUGUAUUUCUUAUCCUGGUAUAUGAGACUACUCCAUACACUAAGCUAAUCAAUUAACAUUUUUUUUUUAUUAUCAAUAAAAAUGAAGUGUUUUUUUUCUUAAUUUGCUUUUGUGUCAUUGAAAUAAGAAAUUUAGUAUUUUUAUUUUAUAUUUAUUAUAAAUGAUUGUUUAUUUAUUAUCAUAUAUCUCGUACGUUCCGUAUCUCGUAUCUUAUAUCCGUGCAACCUAGCUCCUUGUAUAAAUUAAGUAUUUCUCAUUUUAUGGUUUGGGUUAUUUAUAUUUUAAUUAAAUUUUAAUUUAAUUUAAUUAUCUUGACGAGAUGUAACUAAUAGAUAUUAUCAUGACAAAAACAUUAUCUAAAAAUAUAAAACAAUUUAUCUUCUUACAAUUGUUGUCCUUAUACCUUAUUUUCCUACAACUGUGCUAAAUAAUUAUUGUCCUCCUCAUACUUGGCCAUUUUAGAAGUUUACACUUGACUUCCAUAUAAUACAAACUAUUCUGUUUAUAUAUAUAUAUAUAUAUAUAUAUAUAUAUAUAUAUAUAUAGAUUAGGAGUAAAAAAUUUUCAAAUAAACAUACAUUUCCUACAUUUUUAUGUAUUCUAAGUAGAAAAAAGUUAAAAGAAAUAUUCUCUUAACUCAGAAUAUAAAUUUUUUUUUUCUCAUUGGAUCAUAUAUAUUAGUAUUUUUUUUAUAAAAUCAUUAAAUUAAAUAGUUGAUGAGCAUUGACAAGAGGUUAGAUCAAUUGAAAAUAGUCUAUAAUUUCGAGAAAAAAAAAAAAACCUGUAAGGUUAGAUUAAACUUGAAGUCUUUGUCUAUCGAGAGGCUUAACCUAAAUAUUAAUCUCAACCGGAACUGAAAACACACACACAAAUUACAGGUGAGUUGAAUAUAGUUUAACUUUGGUUGGAAGGUUGGAUAUGAAAAACUCAAGAAAUUUAAUAUUUCUCUUUUAAUUUGAUGAAAAAAUGUUUCUUUCUAUAGGUAGUUAUUAACAAGUAUAACGAGUAAUUAAAAUUUCUUCAUAUAUGUGCUGGACAAAAAAAUUUCUUGAUACGUUGAAAUGGCAUUGUGGUGAAGCACGUUCGAUGUUUUUAGUUGACAAGAGUCCGACACCCGGCAGUCCUAAAUUAAAUAUAUUUUUUAUCUAUUUAUUUUAAAUUCAUAAUAAAUAAAACAGAAGUCCAAAUAUUUGAAAUAAGUAGUAUAAUUUUUUACUAUAAAAUUUAUUUAUUUUUGUCUAAAUAUAAGAAUAUAAUUAAUCUGUAAUUCAAAAUUAAUUAAUUAAAACAACAUAAAUUCCAAAAUUUCUUAAUUUUAAAGUACAGUAAUACUUAAUAAAUAAUUACAAUCAGUAAAAUAACAUAAGAAUAAUAUAAACUGAAUUUAGAUAAUAUAUAUAAUUAUUUAUAUAAUAUUUGUAUUAAUUAAUAUAUAUAAUUUAUAUAUAAUUCUAAAGUAUUGCAAUUAAUGAAAUUAAUUUCUAGGCAAUUUUCAAUUUUUGUUGUCAUAAUAAAAAUUGACACCCACUCUCUAAUCGAAAUUAGUCAAAGUCUAUUUUUCAUAUUUCAGCUGUCUGUGUUUAUUGUUGUUAUUCAUACAAUUAUAUAUAUUAAUUGAGCUUUUCAUUCUGCGUUAGUAAUUUUAAUUUAAUUUAUAUUUUCUUAGAAAUAUUUUAGGAAGGAUGGUUAUUGUCACGAUCCAAAACCAUGGAUCGGACCGGCACUAGAACCCAGGUAAACAUAAGGCCACCAAGGCCUAUAGUAAACUUGAACCACUAAACUUAGUCACAUUAGAUUGGAGCACAGGACCAGUUAGCCCAUAUUAUUUUAUAUAGCAAAUCUUAUGAUCAUAUUAUAUGCAGAUCGAAAUCCAGUAUUUUAAAUAUUUCAUAACUCCGGCUUAAUUACAUUACACAAUAUCUAUAAUAUGAGCUAACCGGUCCGUACAUGUACAUAUAGAUAUGUAAAUCAUCAACCUAAAGUUAUCACUUAACAUGAUCACUCUCAUACAAAAUUGAACUUAUCAUAAUCCUAUAAUAGGAGUUUCACAAUUCUACAACUGCGGAGUUCAAUAUCAAACAGAAAUGAAUGAGUUCUUGUAUAACACUCACAAUUUAAGUAAUUAUUGGAAUUAGGAAAUUUCUUUUCUAGCUCUGUAAUGAAGGAAACAGAGUUUUAGUCGGGACAAGGAAGAAUCUACUUCCUAAAAAAUUAAAUAAAAUAAAUGUGAGUUUAAUAAUGAAUAAUAACUAUUGUAUGACAUAGAUAUUCGCACGAAAUACUUCCUAAAAUACUAAAAUGAAUACUUGUUCGAUCAAACACAUAGCACAACAUCAACACUCACAUGCAAGUACACCUUCACAUAAUCAAACAAGUGGAGAUUGUCUAUGGCGUCACCAAAACCCCGAUGAGCUGUCCUCACACAUGGCUCAUCCUCUCAUGAUGUGUAUACCAGGGAAUCGAUCCUCUAUACAUGGCCGAUCGGUCUAAUCCUCAUUUGACUAGCCCUCUCAAUUUUUUAUACUCUCUUGUCUUUUCCAUACCAACAGGCGGCUACUUUGUGGUUUUUCAUAUCAUAUAUCAUCAGAUACACACGGGGGCGCCGAUCUCCCCAUAUAUGACCGACAGUAUCGAAGACCGCCCUCACAAAUCCAUAGUGACCCACUUCGUCCCAAUUCCACGCAAAUAAGGCAUAUCAUCAUCACAACACAUUUAAUCAAGCAUUGCAUUUAGAUGCAAGCACAUUAUAUAAACAAACCUUGUUAUGCAAAUAUUCAAAUAUACACAUCUAUAAACCAAGUAUAAAAUAAUGAAUGUUUAUGCAAAUAAUAAUAAUAAUAAUAAUAAAAUAAGUAGGAAAUUGUAACAUUAUAUAGUAAUGUAUAUAUGCAUGAUGCAAAUGAUAAUCCACUACUUAUUACUGCUCAUAGUAAUAGAUGAGAGAAAAAGAACUCUAGUUUUGAUUCUGAUUCAUAGAAGUAGUGGACGAAUUCAGAAAAUCUAUAUGCAAUAAAAUUGAAAGGGACAAAAGAAUCAAAUAAAGAAUUCCUUUCCAAUAAGAAUAAGGAAUUAUCUUGAUUAAAUCUAACAAUGCUUUUAUUAAAUAUACUAAAUCAAGAUUCUGUUGAAAUUUUAGCAGAACCUCUCCUGAAAAUAUGACUAACUACCUGCUUAAAUAUCAGCAUUAUUAUAUAUCUAUCAAUCAUUACACACAUAUCCCAUCUAUCGGGUAAUCAAAUAAAUUAAUUUUUCUUCCUCCAUACCAAGUAAUAGUAUAAAUAUUUAAUCACAAUAUAAAACUUUAGUUAUUAACUAUCUAAGUUUUAAGCAUCAUCAUUGGUCAUUUACUACUUACACAAAAAUAUCCUUAUCUUUGCUAUCUAAGCUUAAGCCAAUAAAUAAAAUAACAAAUAAAUGAAAAUAAACAUUUACCUAACCUCCACAUCCUACUGGUUUAAAGUAUCCAUAUAUAUAUACCCAUAACAAUCACAUACCAACUAUAAUUCACACUUUCUUUUCUUUUCCUUAUCAUUAUAUAACUAAGACCCCGAAUACAACUUAAUAAUAUGUGAAUCAUCAUCCUCGCCAAGCAAAAUUAUAGGUAACGAACCCAUUUUAAUCGUCUCUCAAUCAUAAAUAAGCAUUUAUACAUAAACCAUUAUGGAAUCUUGAAAGUAUGCUCAUUUACGUAUAUUUAUCCUUCUAAAACAACACAAAACUCAAGGUAAUUGCUGUCAAUCCAUAAAAAUUAGAGUUUUUCUAUAUUAAAAUCAUGGAUCAUAACAACUAACCAAUUCCUAGCAAGAAUUAAAUUUUCAACUUCAAUUGUACCAUGUCAAACAAUAACCUAUAGAAAUAAUUGAAAAUAGAUGCUGCUUUUUACCAAAAAUUUCUCAGUACUCAUUAAACUUUGUCAUUAGUACUUCUACACUCACAACAAAUUAUGAAGAGCACAUUCGUUCCAUCAACAUAAACCUGGUUCAAGCAAAAACCCGUGAUUUUGGCUAGCUAGGGGCUACCACUUUAUCAAAGAAACCUUAAGUUUUUGGUUCAACUCACACAUUAUACGAUGGUUAACCCAUUUCCAAUCAAGAACUCAAUUUACAAUUUCAUUUGCUUCAUAUCACAGCUUUAGUUCAAGAAAUCAACUAAAAUGGCUACUACCAACCUAAGAAAAUCAAGGUUUCUCGAUUAAAAUCCAUACUAUAAACAUUAGUUGACUCAUUUACAAACAAAAACUUAAUUUAUCAUGUGAAAUGCCUCAUAUCAAAGCAAAAAUUUUGAGCAUAUAGCUAGGUUUGCGCUGCCAUAUCACCAUCAUUCUAAUUUCUUUCAUAGAAUUUGCAAUAAACACCCUAACUUACACAUUUCCUUGUAAAAUGCAGUUAUAGUGUCAAUUAAUAGUCAAAAAUCAGAUUUUCCCGACUUUUAGUUGUGUGAAUAGUGUUUCAAGAACCUAGCAUUUCUCAUUCAUGAUUCUACCAACCCUUUCCUCAAAUCAACUUUUAGCUGCCCCUUCUUUUUUUCUUUUCUCGCUAAUCGCUAACUUCGGUUGAUCGGAGAUGGAGAAACGGCACUCGCAAGGUGCUAGGGACGAGGUGGAUUGGCCAAUUAAGGUUUGGUGUCGCCGGAAAUGAGAGAGAAGUGUUGAAGGUGAGUUUUGUGUCGAUCGAAAAGGAAGAAAUUGCAUCAAUUCUCUCUCUCUCGUUUGCAACACUAUGACAUGCUAGAAAUGGAAAGUGUGGUGGCCGGAUAUGAAAUAAAAACCAAACUCGCGGGAGUUAUUAGCGCUAGAAUUAGCAACAGAUAUAAAAUUAGUCACAAUUCCGUCUCUAAAUAUGUCGCAUAUUGGUCGCAAAUCUGUCUACUAAUAUUGAAUCUCUAUUACUUCAACAUUUAUUGCAACUGGUCGCAACAUGACGCAAUUUUGCUAUCGAAAUAGGGCAGUCGCAAAACUGUGUUUUUUUUUUCUAGUGCAAUUUAUUGGAUUAAAAAAAAUCAUUAAUAGCAAAUGAAAAAAAUUAGACUUGACCAAUUUGUUGAAUGCUGACAUUUUUCAAAACUAAAUUUAAGAAAAAAAUAAGAAGGAACUAAAUUUUUUUUCAAAAAAAACUUAUGUUAUGUUUCUUGGAUAUAAAAGAAAAAUAAAAUUAAUUUUUCUUUACAAAUAUAUUUUUAUAGUUUUUUAUUUUCCUUAUAAUUUGAAGAAAAUUAUCGGAUUCCUUUUCUCUUAUAUUCCUUUCUUAUUUCCAAAUAAAAUAGUUUUUGCUUAUUAAAAUUAGUUUGGUUUUCUUUUCUUUUUUCCUCUUAUAUGACAUUCUAAAAAUAUAAAACAAUUUAUUUUCUUACAAUUACUAUCAUCACAACUUAUCUUCUUACAAUUAUGCUCAAUAACUCAUACUUGACAAUUUAAGAGACUUACACUUGGCUGUCAUCUAAUAUAGACUUCUCUACUUUUAUAUAUUAUAUAGAUAUAUAGAUCUCAAUGAUUGCGAUGCUAAUUACAUUCAUUUAGGCUCCAUUUAUUUUCGUAAAAUAGCUUGUAGGAAAAUAAUUUGCUGAAAAAUAUUUUUCAAAUGACUUAUUUUCUGUUAUUCGGUUAUAAUAUUGAAAAUUAGCUAAAAAUAUUAAAGUCUUUAUCUCAUAAGACCAUAAAAAAUAUUAAUAAUAAUAGAAAUUUUAUAAUUUAAAAACUUUAUUGUUAAAUAUGAAAAGAACGAAAAAAAUAUAAAUUAUGAAAGUCAAGAAAAUAUUUUCCAUUGACUUAUUUUUUUCUGAGUACCCCAAACAAUGAAAAAUUGUAGAAAAUAUUUUCCUGCAAGUUAUUUUAUGAAAACAACGGAGCAAUAUUUUUUUAAGCCUUAAUGUCUUUUUGGAACACAUUUAAGCAAUAUUUUUUUUAAGAAUUAAAUUAAAAUAAAUAUUUAGUAUCCAACUUUAACAUUUUAACGUUUUACCUUUCUGAUAAUUUAAACGAAAAUUUCCAAAGGCAGCCAAACUAUAAAUUGAUUAAGUGCAUUUUAAAAAAUAAAAUAAAACAAAUUGAGCAUGAUUUUUCUUCUUCAAGAAUAAGACAUAUAAUCUUGUCCAUCACUCUUUUUUGUGGAUAACAAACUAGAGUUGGAAAACAACAAUUGAACUACAUGACAAAAGUUACCUAUUCCUUUAUCAUGUCUUAAAUGUGUACUAAAAAUCAUAUAUAUAUAUAUAUAUAUAUAUAUAUAUAUAUAUAUAUAUAUAUUUUUUGUCUUAUUUUAUGAACUGAUUAGGGGAAAGAAAGAAAUGCUAAUAUGAGUUUCAAUAUUGUAAAUUCGUAAUCUGGCUCUAUUAUGUUUUUUGCUUCUUCAUUUAGUUAUUGGUGAAAGAAUGGAAAGUUAUAACUUAAAACUCAUAACCUUGUUUGCAAGAAAUCCAAUUAGAGUGGCGAAAUAUAUAAAUUCGUUUACCUAAAUUUGAGGUAUUUCUAAACUUAUGAAUUUUCAUAAUAUAACGCAUCUCGCAAUAUAAACAAUGAUAGUUUUUAGAAUUUCGGUUUUUAUAUUUAAACUACUGAUUUGUUAUAUGGUUAAUAAAACUUCUAAAAUAAAAAUUUUCAUAGUUUUAACUAUUUGAAUAAAUGUUUAAUUCAUUCAGUUUUAAUAGUCAAUAAUAAACAAAAUCAUUUGUAAGUUAAAAUAUUUAAUAAUUAACUAUAAUUUUAUAAAUUUAAGAAUUUAAUAGGUUAAAGAAAAAAAAUCAUGAAAUUGAACAAUGUAGAAAAAGUAAGGUCAUCAUCCAAUUAUGAGAUCUUAAUGGUUGAAGAAAGCGAUAUGACCAAAGGACGUAGCUGCAAGACUGGCUAGUUACCUAUAUUUGGGCAGGAAGGCAAGUACAUGUUAUCAUAUAUAUGUAUAUACCCUAAUAAUCAGGGCACCGCCCAAUGUCUGGUGUCUUCUUACUUCUCAUGGAUGUGGCUAUUAGCAACCGACAAGAAUUUUCCAUAAUUUUGUCAGCCUUGAAAUAUUUUGAAUUCAAAUAAUUUUGUUUAUCAAAAUUCAAAACAAUUAUCAAAAUUCAAAUAACUCUAAGAUCAUCUUAGGUUCACUUUGAAAUUAAAUGGAAUGUAAUUUUUGAAAUAGGAUUUUAUUUUUGAAAUAGGAUUAUGUAAUGGGAUGUUAUUAGGAUAAUUGACUUGUGAAGAAGUAGACAACUAAGGUAGCUUUGUUAUUACUGUGGUUUUCAGUUUUUCGUUUAAUUUUGGUAAAAAAAAAAAAAAAGAAAAUAUAUUUAUUUUAAAAGUGUUUAAAUUUACUUUUUAAUUUUUUUAAAAAACUGUUUCAAAAAUAAAAAAUAAUGUUUUAUGAAAUUACAAAUGGUAAUUUAUUUAUUUAUUUUUGUUACGCUUCCCUUUUUCAUACUUCUCUUUCUUACAUGUCUCUUCUACAACUCUAUCUCCUACAUGUCUCUUCUUUUAGAUAGAUUUUUUGUAUUUCAAUAAAAAAUGAUAUCCUUUUAAAUGAUAGGCUGAUAAAGCUAAAAUAAUUAUUGAAUUUUUUAUUUAAAAGAUAAUGAAAAUAAGUAAAUUCUAACUUAAAUCGAAUAAAAUUGACUUAGAAGCUAACAUUGAAUUAAUUUAUUAGAUUUUGUAUCUUUAAUUUAAAAAUAAAAAUUAUGCUACGUUAAAAGACAUGCAAAAAGUUAGGAUUUUUAAGUCAAACUUAAGCUUAUGAGUAAGAUACAUUUGAACAUUAAUUUUUUUUCAAUUAUAUAAAUUUAAAGGUUUAAUGACUAAAAUAUCUACACUUUAGCGUUAUUUUUAAUUUUAUCAAUUUUAUGCAUUUAAUUUUUGUAGCAAUUAUAAUCUGUGUCCAAGAAUUUUUAGGAGGUUGCUGAUGUAGCUGUUAAUGACCCCAUACAUUGCCAUCUCAGCACCACGUGAACACACUACAUCAUUGGUUCAAAAAGGCUUAAUGACAAAAAAAAAAUCUUGAACUUCACCUAUUUUUCAAAAUUUUUUUCCCAAUGCUUUAAAUUUUGUCCAUUAGUUGGUUUAUACACCUAAAAAUUUCGAAACAUAAGAGAUUUGAUGUGAAUAAUAAAAAAGAAUUAUAAUUAAUAAAAUUAAAUAUGAAUUCACUUAUUAAUAUGAUCCAAGUUAUGAAUUAAACCAAUAAUUUUAAAAUUAAUUACUUAAUUACAUGCUAAUAUGGUCAUUCCAUUGCAAUUUGACGGGAAGCCAUCAUAGAUCUAAAAAAAGUGGAUAUAUUGUUUUAACAACACAUGGUUCCUUCUUUCCUAUUGGGGGUAGACUGCUGAACAAAAAGGUUGAAGAAGACAACUCUGGUUUGCCUUUAUGGUACAGAGAAAAAAAUAUGGCCAAAAAUCAAAAGUACCUCACCCACCUUGCCAAGGAGGUACAGUUUGUAAUAACUUAUCUGUAUUAACAUCAAUUUUUUAUGUCACUCUAUCAUGGAAAAAGACAAAACAAUAAAUACAUUUUUUGAAAGGAGAGAGAGGGGCAUUCAAAAGGGUCGAUUGAUCCUAGCAAACCAAAAUUUUUACUGAUGCGUCACAAAAUACAAAUUAUUAUUUUAUUUUAAAAUAUAAAUUAUUUUUAGUAUUUUAAAAAAUAAUAAAUAAUAAUUUUUAAAUGUUACUAUUAUUUACAGUGGAUAUAAUAAAUAUCUUCAUAUGUUAUUCUGGGUUUUGAGAUAAUAGAUAAUUUAGUUAAAGUAUCUUUGAUUUUAUUAUAAUUUAGAAGAAUUAAUUACUUCCUUAAUACUCAUAAAAAAACCUUAAACGACUUAUGUUUUAGAAGAAGGAAAAUACUUAAAAUGUUUUAGAAUUGGACGGCACAAUGAUGAGAUCGAUUUGCAAUCACCUAAAUUUUUAUAGUGAAAAAAUUAAGAUAUAAUUAUAAAUGUGUGAUUAUUUUCCAAACCACUUAUUAUCGAAUAUUAAUCUAUAAUUAUUAAUUUUUAUGUUAUUCAUCAUUUAUACUAAAUAUUAUUAUAUGUUCAACAUAAUAAAAAUAUCUAAACAUAAAUUAUAAUGAUUUAAAUAUUAUAAUAAUUUUGAAGCUUUUUCAUCAUUCACAUUAAAUAUAAAAAUAUUUGUUCAUUUUAAUGUAUUUUGAUAUUUCUAUAAUUAAAUUAUAAUUUUUGUAUUGUUUUAUUAAUUAAGUAAAUUAUUAAUUAUAAAUUAUAGAAAAAUUUUUCAAAAUUGACAAAAUUAUAUUAAAGUAGAUUUUUCAAAAGAAAUUUGGACUUUUUUGAUAGGUGUUAUUUUUAUAGUAUUUUUAAUAUAGUUUUUGUUAGGAUUUUUAGUAGUUUUAAUCAUUUUAAUUAGUUUUUAUUCAGGUUUAGUUAUGUUUUUGUUCAAAGCCUCCUUGAAACAUAACUCACUUGAUCUUAAGGAAAUUUGUAGGAUUUUGAUACAAAAAAGAGCAAAAUAAAGUAAAACUCUCAAAGGCUAGCACGCCCUGAAUGUGCAACUCAGUACGUCCGGGCAGGAUUCAAGGAAAUCAAGUUGGAGACUCAGAGCCUAGCACGCCUUGGCCAUGUUAUCUAGGACACCCGUGCCAUAGAAUGAUAUCGAUUCAAGGGCGGCCCGUGCUGCAUCCAUCCCGGUAACUCAGAGCCUAGCAUGCCCUAGCCGUGCAAACCAGCACGCCCGUGCCACAGAUUCUCCUUCAAACUCAGGCUCCAGCACGCCCGGCCUAUGUAGCGUGGCACACCCCUGCUGAAGAUCAAGUUUUGCUUUGAGCUGAGAAUGCCAACCCAGUCCCUACCACUUGCAUGGGCCCACAUAAGAUACUUUCCUAACAUGCCAAUCAAGUUUAAAUCCUAUUUAGAUGCAUGAGAGAGUCCUAAUUGAGAAGAAAUUAAAAGCCUAAAGAGUCUUCUAUCUCCAAAAGAUUUCCUACUCAAUAAAGACUCUAUUUUCUAAACGAAGUCGGAGUUUUCCCUAGAAUGUCUAUAUAAAGAGUGGAAUCCAUUCAUUGUAUAUUUCAUCUCUUAUUCUAUUAUUUUCUACAUAGUUCUCUCUCUUUAAGAUUUCAAGCAUUCAAGUUGGUAUCAAGUUUCAAAAAAGCCGCUCAAGCCAAUCGUUGACUAGUUUUUAUUUCUAAACCCUCUUUUUGUUUAUUAUUCUUUAAGGGAUUAUUUACAAGUUUAACUGAGUUUUAUUUAAUUACUAUGUCGAACUAAACUCUCAUACUAGGGAUUUGAUAUAACUUAAUUUUGAUUUCAAUUUAUAAUAUCAGAUUUGUUUUUCUUUGUUCAAAGUAUAAUUUAUUAUUGAACUUAAUGCUUCCAGGUAAAGUUUUUCUCUAGAUUGAUUUAUUUCAUUAAUCACUUUCGGGAGAAGGGUUUUAUAUAUAAAAAAGGUAAUAAAUUACGUGGAAUAAUAGCUUGAUGCGGAAGUUAUAUUGACUUAUGGGGGGUUUCAUAAGUUAACGACAUUAGAUUAUGAAUUAAUAAACAAACCAUAAAACUUAAUGAUUUAAUUCAUGUUUGAUUGCACUAUUGGAAGAUAGGUAAUUAAACCGGGUUAAAAUAGCUAACAAUACAUUGGAAGAGCUUGUUAGUGAUUUUAGGGUUGUUUCUCCUACUUGAACAAUUAAAAAUGAUUAACAAACUAAUAAAAUAAAUUGGAUAGAAUUAAGUGAAAUCAAAAUCCCUAAUAGUUUCUAAUCCUUAGUUUUUUUUCAUCGAAUUGCCUUACUUGACUUCUUUUAUUUCUCUUUUACUCAUUUAGAAUUUCGUUAAAAGAAUUCUCCUUAUUGUCGUCUAAAUAAUAGUAAGUUAACAAAAUUUUAGUACUUGGUAUACAAUUCUUGUGGGGUGAUACUUUAUUCAUUUUUUAUUACUUGUCGCGAUUCCGUACACUUGUGAAAAAGCCUGUCAUAUUUGUUUGUAACCUUUGAAUAAAAAAAAAAGGUUUGCAGGUUGUAAAUUUGAAUUCACGACUUUACAAAUUAUUCAUUUACCUUAACCAUUUGCUCUACUAAAUUUGAAUAACAUUAAGUUUGUGUGUUUUAUUUUAAACUCUGAAUCUUCCGUUUGUGAAAAAAGACCAAGAUCAAAUAGGAAUGAAUCAAUGGUUGGUUCACAGAUUAAUUGAUCUGAUCAGUCAGUUUGGUCUGAUUUUAAAAGCAUAAUUAUAUUUAUGUCAAUUUUAGUCCAUAUUACUAUAAUUAUAAUAAAGUACGAUUUACUUACAUCCAUAUAUAAACUUAUAUAUAUAUAUAUAUAUAUAAAACGUGUAAAUUCAAUAAAGUUAAUUUGUACGGACGAAUUAACUAUAAAUUUUAGUAUAAAUUUUUUAAAUAAUUGCAAUUUUACUCUAAAUUAACCUUUAUAUUCUGAAUACCAUUAAUUUAUACAAUUGUGUCCAGGUUUAUUUUUAAAAUGUAAUUUUAUACUAAAAGUAAAUAUGAAAUAACUUAUCAUCAGUUGCUAUUGCACUUUAGAAGUAAAGUAAAGUUGGGAUUUUUAUUUAAAAAAAUGUAAAAAAAAGGCCUUAUUUAUGUCAGGGUAUUGAUUUCUGUUUACUAAGAAACAUAAGAAAAUAUUGUAAGUUUAUGAUAGUUUUUUCAAAAUGAUAAUUAAUUAUUAGCCUCAUUUGUUUUUUCACAUUAUUGCUCAUUUUCUUCUUCUUCAAUUUAUUUUGUGACAAUAUUCAAUGGUAGAAAAUUUUGUAAUAAAAUAGAUUUGCACUUUUUUUUUGGACUAGAAAUGCUGAUACAAUGAUAUAAAUAAUUAUAACUUGAUUAUAGUAUCCUUUUAAUUUUAUGAAAUUAAUAUGAAAUCACUUCAAUGCUAACUUUAGCAUUGAAUUGAAGACAAAUAUUGAAAUUUCUUUUUUAUUUUUAACAAUAAGAGGUAAUUACAAGUCAGUUUUGUACACCUAUUAAAUUCAACUCUCCAAUCUAUAUAUAUAUAUAUAUAUAUAUAUAUAAGCUCUGCGUUAUAUGGAAGUCAAGUGUAAACCUCUGAAAUUGCCAAGUGUGAGGAGGAUAAUAAUUAUUUAUCACGAUCGUAAGAAGAUGAAUUGUUUUAUAUUUUCUAAAAGGUUUGAUCAGUUAUUACAAAUUAAAAAACUAAAAAUAGGAAAGUAGAUUCCAACAAUUAAUCUGUCACGUAAGUUUUACAAAUUUGAUUCAUGUGCAAGCACGUUUGUGACAUCUCGACCCGGCAAAGCGAUCCUAAGAGGGUGGGUAGAGCGAAGCUCGUAGCUAGCUUCUAGGAUGACAAGCUAGCUAGGGUAGUGGAAUGCGGGACACAGGAAUGAAUCGAAUCAUAUAUCGAAAAGGGGGAAACUAAUCAUUAGAGGCGCCUUUUGGUGGAAUGGCUGGACAGUUGGAAGAACUUUAGGGUUAAGCGUGCUCGCUUAACAUAAAUCUCAGGAUGGGUGAUCUCUUGGGAAGUUUUUCAUUUCACCUGCGGGACAAAACCGUGCCGCUCUUGCCAUCUUGUAUGGGCGAUUUGGCUUGAUCCAAAGCGGACAAUUCCUCUGGUGAUUAGAGUCGGGCGUGACAACGUUUGUCCAAGUUUUUUUUUUUUUUUUAAUUUUCUAAAAUCAAAUUAAUUUUCUUUCCUUGUAUAUCCAAAAAAAAAUAAGUAACAAAAGUACGAAAUUUACACAUUUAGGACACAUUGCAUUAAAUAAGUACAACACAUUAAUAUUUUAAAUAAAUAAAUAAUCAUUUAUAACAAAUCAUAAACAUAAAAUAAAAAAUAAUUAAUUUCUUAUUUGAAUCUAAUUAGUUAAAUUCUUAAAAUUAUUUCACUAUUGAAAAAUACAUUAAUAGUGUGUGUGCAUUUUUUUAUGCAUGUCAUAUUAGGGGUGUCAAAAUGGGUCAUGACACGCGAACACGAUUUGCUUAACACGCGAAAUAAAUGGAUGAGGGUUGAUGCUAAAUAGGUUCGUGUUAUAAAUGAGUCACCCAUUUAUGACACGAAUAUAAACGUGUUGUGUCGCAGGUUGACACGCAGGUUAGGCGAGUGACUUAUUUAUUUAAGAGUAAAGAGAUAAUUUUAGUAUUAGAUAUAAAUCCUCCAAUGAAAACCUAUUUAAAUUUUAUUAUUGUAUUACUUUUUUAUUUUAGCUAUAAAUAUUAAAGAAUUUAUGCAUUUUAUGUAUGAAAAUUUAUUUUUAAAUACGAUUGGAGUUAAAUAGGUUAAAAUUUAAAAAUAUUAUAAGUAUGUUAAGUGGAUCGUACACAGGUCAACACGACCCACUUAACAUGUUUAUGACAUUAAAUGAGUCAUACGGGUUGUAUAUGGGUCAAAACGAUCCAUUUUACCUGUUUAUGAUAUUAGGCCAAAUUGCGAAGUAUAAGGAGUUAGCAUAAUUGUAAGAAGAUAAGUUGUAAUAACAACAAUUGUAAGUAGAUAAGUUGUUUUAUAUUUUCAGAUAAUGUCAUAUAGGAGGAAAAAAGAAAAGAAAACUAAACUAAUAUUAAUAAGCUAAAACUAUUAUAUUUGGAAAUAAGAAAGGAAUAUAAAGUAAAAGAAUUCCAAUAAUUUUCUCUUCAAAUUAAAAGUAAAAUAAAAAAACUAUAAAAAUAAAUUUGUAGAGAAAAUUAAUUUUAUUUUUCUUUUGUCUCCAAAAAAAAAGUAACGUAAGUAAGACAUUUUCACGCUUAGGGCACACUGCACUAAAUAAGUAUAACACAUUAAUAUUUCAAAUAAAUAAACAAUCAUUUAUAAUAAAUCAUAAACAUCAAGUAAAAAAAUAUUUAAUUUUUUAUUUCAAUAUAAUUAGUUAAAUUCUCAAAAUUAUUAUAACUAUUGAAAAUUAAAUUAAUAGCGUGUCUGCAUUUUUUAUGCAGGUCCUAGAGGUAUCAAAAUGAGUCAUGACACGCGAACGAUUCGCUUAACAUGCGAAAUAAAUGGGUUAAGGUUGAGGUUAAACGGCUUCGUGUCAUAAACGAAUCACACAUUUAUGACACAAAUAUAAACAUAUUGUAUAACGGGUUGACACUUGGGUUAAGCGAGUAACUCAUUUAUUUAAGAGUAAAAAUGUAAUUUUGAUGUUAGAUAUAAUACUCCAAAAAAAAUCUAUUUAAAUUUUAUUAUUGUAUUACUUUUUAUUUUAUUUUAUUAUGAAUCUUGAAGAAUUUAUGUAUUUUAUGAAUGAAAAUUUAUUUUUAAAUACGAUUGGAGUUGAACAGAUUAAAAUUUAAAAAUAUUAUAAGCAUGUUAAGUGGGUCGUAUAUAGGUCAACACGACCCACUUAACCUGUUUAUGAUAUUAAGCGGGUUACAAGAGUUAUAUAUGGGUCAACACGGCCUCAUUAACCUGCUUAUGAUAUUAGGUGGGUUAAACGUGUCGUGUUCAAUCACCUGCCUAAUUUUCAUGUCGCUCAUGUCGAUAAAUUUACACAAUUAUUAAAUUGAUCGUAUUCGUGUUGACCCUAAACGUGUCGCGUGUUAGGCGAAUCCAUGUUGAACUUGACACGUCAACCCAUUUUGACACCUUUAGGUCAUACCAUGCAUGAUUUUUACUAUUACAUAUUUUGGUAAAGGCUUUGCAAGAUACUUAAGAAGAUACAUUUUAAUAUUGCAAUUUUUUUAUCAUAUCUCAAUAAAAUACAAUUUUAUAAUGCAUUUUACGAUCAUUUAUUAUUUUUGAAUGAUAUUAUAAUAUAUUAUUUCAUCAUUUAAUAUUACUCUGCGCAUCGCGCGGGUUCUAACAUUAGUUUAGUUUAGUGAAAAACAACCUAUUAAAAAAAAAAAAAAAGGUUAGAUCCCUGUUUGAUACCAAAACAUGACAUUUUACAAAACGGCUCAUUUCGUGCCCUAAACCUCAUCGUGAUUUACAAUUAAAAUCGAUUUUUUCAAUUGAUUUUUGUUAUUCCACGUUAAUGUGGGAUAAAAGAAUUUAAACUAUACAUAGGAUUUGGAUAAACUUCCUCUCCUUGAACUAGGACUUUUAGAUGAGUUAGGUACAGUCGAUUUUAUCAACAUAGUACAAGAGCUUACCCUUAAUAUAUUUGUACGGAAACUUCACCCUCCUUCCUUCCUUUGAACUAACAUUUUAAGUAGUAAAGUUAAUUUUAGCUAUGACUCCAUACUUUAUAAGCCAAUUUAAGUAUUUAUUUACUUAUAAAGUUAUAAUCUUUUAUUUAAAAUAUAUUUGACGGACUUAAAAGCCAACUUAACACCAUCUAAAAUAGUUGUCUACAUAUGUUACUAUUAGGGCUACAUCAUAUGCGGUAAAAGUUGGGGGCAUAUUAUAUAUAAGUUAGCAGCUAGCUUGAAGCCUGCCAUCUUAAUAUAUAAUACUUCAUAUCUCUGCUGUGCACUUACACUGCCUCACUGUUUUCAAUUCCAUUUUUCAAGUAAUUACAACAUUUUCUUCCUUCUGCCAGUUACAGAUUUAUAUCAGUCUUCUUGCAGAAUAUUAAUAUAAACCAAAUCUCUUUCUUUUUCUCUUGAGUCAGUCUUGGCACUAAUGGAGGAAGUGAACAAAGAACUAGGAUAUGGUUGCAAAUCCUCAAGUACAGUAAAUCCAGAAGAUAAUAACAAUGGCGAAAGUGGAAAAACUGAACAAAAGAUGCAGAACUUGGAGAUGGAGACUGAUAAUUCUCCAAAAGGAAACCUUAUGUGCAAAACAAAGUCAUUUAGUGCAAGUUUCUUGAUCAAUAUAGAUGAUCUUGUUGAUAAUGUUUCUACUACUGGAAGCUUUGACAAGACAGGUUUAAUUAUUUUCCUUCUUAAUUAUUAAUGACUAAAGGGAAUUCUUCUCUUGCAAUUUGCAUUUAUGAUGUUAAUAACAUUAAUAUAUUUUCUUGUCACCCUUUAAUGCAGGAAAUGCUGCAAUGGGUCAAAGUCCUUCAGAUCAUCAGGAGGACCCAGAUUCUUGCAAGUUGAAGAAAAUGCAGGUUGAACCUACAUUACCUAUAGCUCUCAAGGUAAUUUGAUUAAUAAUAACGGUUUAAACGCAGUUAAGCUAUUAGCCACAGUGACUAUAAUUUUAAAUAAAAAUGAUAAAAUCGCUAUCUACAUAUGUAUUUUUCAACUUUCUGCAGUUUCAAGAAGUGAAAUACAAGGUGUAUUCAGAUAAGUAUGUACUUCAUGGAAUUAGUGGUUCAGCCCACCCAGGUGAGGUUCUAGCUCUUAUGGGACCAUCAGGAGGUGGCAAAACGAGUCUGCUCAAUCUUCUUAGUGGAAGGGUCAAAUUCACCAGUGGUUCUAUAGCUUAUAAUGGUAGACCAUAUACCAAAUCCCUUAAGCGGAGGUAUUUUAUGUUUCUGUACAUCAGAAUUUCUUUCUGGGAAUCAGAUUUUCAAGAUUUAAAACCCUGACUUAUUACCAAUGGAGGUGGGGCACUCGACUAUUGAGCUAUUAUUCUAACAGUAGGCAGUCGCGGGCCUGGGGCCAUGACAUAAAUUAAAUGUCAAAUUAAGAAAAAAAUUAUCGUAGAGUGUUCCCAGCCCAUUGAACCUGGUUGAUGAGAAAGGAAGUUUCCAUCAUUACUAGACUAGGUUAAUUUAUGAUCAGUUAAUAUGUAUUAUAAUGGCAAAAAUGGGAUAAUUAAUGGGUGACUAAUUGUUUGAUUUUGUGAAACAGGAUUGGCUUUGUGACACAAGAUGAUGUUCUGUUUCCCCACCUUACAGUUAAAGAAACUCUCACUUAUGCUGCUUUGCUUCGUCUUCCUAAUAUCUUAACUAGAGAACAGAAAAAAGAAAGAGCAAUGAAAGUUAUAACUGAACUAGGCCUUGAAAGGUGAUUAUUUUCUCUCAUUUUUUUCUGGAUCCUUAAAAAUUCUUUCUCAGUCACUUUCAGAUAUUCUGUAAUCUGAACCCCUUGCCCACUUGGUAAUUAAAAGAUGGUGCAACUAGCUUAAAAUUGACUGCCUUCAAAGGUGGAUAAUGAACAUUGAAAGAUAAUUACAGCGAAGUAAUUUAGCCUGCUGUAUAGAUACAGUUAAAUUUUUUGUACUAUUGCAGAAAGCCAUGAGUAUUAAGCUCUGCAUAUUUCCUGUUCAAUAGGUCAAUAAACUCAACUUUUGCUUUGCUAAUUUUGGCAAUGUUAACAAAAAUUAUGAUUAUUGUUGUUGACGAUCGGUUCUGUUUGAAAACAUUAAUUAACAGUAAUUUGUAUCGUUCCUAGGAGCCAAAAUUCAGUAAUUGGUGGCAAGUUUGUGAGAGGAAUAUCUGGAGGUGAGAGAAAAAGGGUCUGCAUUGGUCAUGAAAUUCUCCUGAACCCAUCACUUCUUUUCCUGGAUGAACCUACAUCAGGUCUAGACUCAACAACCGCGCUUCGAAUUGUUCAGAUUCUGCAGAACAUGGCCAAGGUAGUAAAAAACUUCUUUUUAUUUUGUGCAUAGAAAAUUCUUGCCUAAUGUCAAUUGUACAAAAUCUUGGAGGCAAUUACAAAUAAGAUUAAUUACUUAAUGUACUUGUGUUUUUUGUUCUAGACUGGCAAAACAAUUGUGACUACAAUACAUCAACCUUCCAGUAGGCUCUUUGGUAAGUUCGACAGGCUCAUUCUAUUGGGAAAAGGAAGUUCCUUGUACUUUGGAAAAGCAUCAGAAGCAAUGUCGUAUUUCUCUUCAAUUGGUUGCCAUCCAGUAAUAGCCAUGAACCCAGCAGAAUUUCUGAUUGACCUGGCAAAUGGAAACAUAAAUGAUAAACCAUUUCCUUCAGAGUUGGAAGAAAAAUUCCUACUCGAAAGUGGAUCAUUAGAGAGAAAAAAGGAAGGACGUUCCUAUACUGAUAUCCAUGAGGUCAAUGAGUAUGCAAGUAUUUUUCCUUAGCAAUUGAUGAAUAUGUACUAUGAUCUGAAUAGUAAUCUCACUUGAGAAUUUCUUUCUUGCAGUAUCUUCUAAAGGCUUAUGAAAAGAAUGUUGAAUCAUCAAUUAAGAAAACAAAAUCUGUACAGGCUAUUACAAUAGACCGUGAGAUGGAGUUUCCUGGAAAGAUGAAUCCAAGGGAAUGGGAAGCAACUUGGGGGGAGCAAUUUUCAGUUCUUGUUAGCAGGAGCUUUAAAGAGAGACGCCAUCAGUACUUCAGUUUUAUGCGCAUAACGCAAGUUGUAGCCACUGCAAUAAUCAUAGGCUUGCUUUGGUGGCAUUCUGGUUCGUCCCUUCAGCAGGCUGAAGAUCAGGCAAGUAGUACAUAAACACACUGUAAUAUAGUCAAAUAUAUUUUUAGUACAAAUUUCGAGCUGAAACAGUAGUUAAUUACAUUUCAUUACAUUUGAUAAUACCAAACAUAGCCUAUUCAUAGUAACAAGGUGUCGGCUGGAGUGCUAAAUGAUUUCAAACCCGGUAAGGCUGUGAACACAAGUUGGAUCUCCAGGAAGAAGCGCACUUUUCUGGGAGGACCAAAACCUUAACAUAGCCUAUUUAAUAUUUUGCUAUUUGAAACAUCAAUAUACUUCUUAUGCUUUUCUUUUUCUUUUUUCGGUGUUAUCAAUGGAUUAAGCAGGCAGGGCUGUUAUUCUUUAUUUCAGUAUUUUGGGGGUUCUUUCCUCUAUUUACUGCAAUAUUCACGUUCCCACAAGAAAAAGUUAUGCUAGCUAAAGAAAGAGCAGUUGGAAUGUACAGACUCAGCGCAUACUUCGCUGCAAGAAACAUUAGCGAUCUUCCUUUGGAUCUAAUACUGCCAACAAUAUUCCUUGUCACAGUAUAUUUCAUGGUUGGUUUAAAAUUAAGCUUUGCUGCGUUUUCUUUGACAAUGCUUACCGUUUUUCUAAGCAUUGUAGCUGCUCAGGUACUACUGGAAUUAGCCUUCUGUAAAUGGAAAAUUCAUGUCUUCAUUUUCUAGAUUAGUGUAUAUAUACAUACACCAAUUCAUAAUUUUUCACUUUCAGGGUCUUGGACUCACUAUAGGUGCAGCAUUUAUGGAUAUAAAGAAAGCAACAACACUAGCUUCAAUCACUAUUAUGACUUUUAUGUUAUCUGGCGGAUUCUUUCUUCAGGUAAGAGAAUUACUUGGUGAAAGAUAUAUGGCUAUGCUCUUAUUUAUCAGAUUAUGAUUUGUAUAUAUAUAUAAUUAUUGAAAAAUGCAGGAAGUUCCAUCCUUUAUGUCAUGGGUACGCUACAUUUCUUUCAACUAUCACACUUACAGGUUACUGUUGAGGAUACAGUAUCCUUGUUCAUCAGAUUCAGAUUCUGAACCAAGUUACUGUCAAUCUCCUUUUAUCACCAACUUAAGACUAGAUCGCGGUGCAAAAGAAGUGGUGGCGAUGAUGGUGAUGAUAGUUGCAUAUCGCUUGCUAGCAUACGUAUUUCUAAGGAAAAUGAAAUUAAGCAAAAUGGCUUAGAUACAGUUGUUUAUGUAAUUUAACAGUGUUUUUGGGAUUUUCUACGAGUAUUCCCAGAGUGUUUAGGGGUUCAUAGCUGCGCGUCUCAUAAUUUAAUAGUGUUUCUAAAAUAUAUUUGCUUAUCCUUGAUUUGGUGUCAACUUUCAAAGUUAAUUAUCUUGAAUUGAAGUCCUAAAAUGUUGGAACUUCCUUUGCCUUUGUUACCUGAUAUAAAUAAUUAGGGAAAUACUUACUUAUAAUUGGUAUAUGAGUCUAUCUGUAUAAUAAACUAAUUACAAAUAAUAUUUUAUUUAAACGAGGAUAUUUCUAACUAUACGCUGGAAAAAAAAAUAUAAAACAGUAAAUUUUUAAAAUACCUUAGCAAGAAAUUUCCCUGACAUAAAUAAUUAGGCAUGCAAAUUCCUUGUACCUUCUAAUGUGUGAAUAUGAAAUAGAAUUUAUUAAUUGAACCUAUUUAAAUAAAAUUACUAGUUUUGGCCUCAAACAUUUAUUUAUUAACAGUGAGUCCCUUUAACUUUUAUUUUUAUCAAAAUUAAACUCUUUUUUAAAUAAAAGCAAAUGGAAAUCGAAGUCACUAACACAUUGUCUUCCUUUUCCCAACUGAACAAGACCCGAUUUAAUAGAGUACUGGCUAAACAUUUCAUGAUCUCAAUUAAAUAAAGGUUUAGUUUUAAUAAAAAUAAAACUUGAAGGGUUUAAUAUCAACAAUGGAAAAUUAAAGGGCUUAAUGAAUAAAACUUGACAAAUUUGGGGGUUUAAAAAUACAUUUUGUCUAAAAUCAUACACCUUUGGUCUCAUAAUUUUUGUCGUACUUUUCUUUUUCAUUAGUCCCAAAUUGUUAUAUUUUUUCAUAUUUUAGAAGUGAAUAUUAUUUGAAGUUUACUAUUUUACCCUUAUUUAAUAUGUUUUUUUAUCAACAAAUAUAAUAGUCAAACUACUAUAUUGUCAUUAAUUAAAUCUUGAUAUAAACAAAAUUGACGUAUCAACCUUUUAAUCUUCCAAUAAAGCUCUAUUUAAUGGAAUAUUUGAUUAAUUUCAAAAACAACUUAAUAUGAAUUAUUUAAUUUUUAUGGAUACUAUCAUAAGGCUAUCUUAGAAAAAAAAUGAAAUAAAAAUUAUAUUUUAACUAUAUUAACUAAAUGUUGUUAAUUCAUAUGUAAGUCAAACCUGAAUACAAAUUAUAGAAUGGAGGGAACAUUUCUUAACGGCUCUAAUCUUUGAUUAUGUCAUGUAUAACCUUAAUGAUUGGUACUAUCAUGAAAUUUUUAGGACACAUUUGAUUGCAUGUGGCCUAUUUGCCAAGAAGUACACUUACAAGGAAAUUCUAGAAGUAAAUUUGAAUGCAUUUGAUACGCAAAACAACUUGUUGAUAAAUAAAUUGCUCUCACAUUAUAAAAGACAAUAAUAUUCGUAACAUAAAUUUAAGUGUAUUUAGAUAAUAGGACAAUUAGUAAAUUCAUUAUACUUAAUUAAGAAGGUGCGAAUUUUUAGUCAUGUGUGAUAAACUUAUUUUAUUUGCAUAAAAAAAUUUGAAUAAUCUAUUUUCCGAAAAUUGUAAUUGAUAAUGUAAAUAAAGUACAUUCAUUUUAUGGACACCUAAAAAGUUACGUUUUCCUAAAAUAGUUAUUCUCAAUUAAAUAUCACCUGCCUCAAAAUAAUAACAAUUAAUUUAAUUUGUUACAAUCACGGUUAUUCACUGUUACGAUGUGUGUAUAAAUAUAGCGAGCUGAUUUUCACCAAGCAUGCUCAAGCAAACUCACUAGAUUUCAGAAUCGGUAUUGUUAAAUUUUUCUUUUUCUCAUAUUAUUCCAUAUUUAUGUUUUAAAAACUCGAAAUUGCACUAAUUAUAUUUCUUGUCAAUAAAUAUUUUUAUUUCAUAUCAUUGAAUACUUAAUUUAAGAAAAAUAAUUUAGAUAUUCAUAAAUUAAUAUUUUAUUUAAAAAGUAGUUGUAACCAAUUUAUAUAUGUGAAAACUUUCACGAAAUGAUAUUUUUAUAAUCUCUUAUGGAACCUUAUUUUAAUAAACUUUCUCUCACUCCAUCCAAACAAAACCUAAGGAUGAUUAGCACAAGUCUUAUUACGUAUCUAUUGACUUGGAAAUGUUGAACAAUGCCAAUCAGUCUAUAUAUAUAUAUAUUUGAAUAAUUAAGUAUGUUGAUGACAGUCAAUCUAAUCUAUUCUGUAAAAAAUUGUAUGUUUUUUUUAUUUUUUUUAUUUAAGGCAAUUGUAUGGUUAAACUCCUUGUUUUCUUGAUUUGUUUUUGGAAUUGCUCACAAGUCCUUUUCCUUUUUCCUUUUUCCUUUUUUAAUUUCCACGGCAACAGAAGUAUCAAACUCCAUUCACACGUAUAGUUUAGCCGUAUAAUUUGACAUUAUAGCGUACGUAAAGAGGAAAAUCUUAAGAAAAAAAACUUAAAAAGACAUUUAAAAGAGAAAUAAUAAUUUAUUAGAAAUAAAGAAUGACUCUAUCUAGCACCAAAAUGGAUACAGAUAAACGACAUUCUAAAACUUGGGGUAAUAAUCUUUUAUUCAGUACCAAUCUGUUUAUUCACACAUACAUAUUUAUAUAUAUGAUCGUAAGUUUACUUAAUUAUAUCAUCCUCUUCCAUUAGGUUUUUUAUUGUAUCCUCCACGUCCAUCAGGUUUUUCAUUAUAUCCACUUCGACCAGUCGGAUUUUCAUUGUUAGGUUUUUUAUUGUAUCCUCCGCGUCCAUCAGGUUUUUCAUUAUAUCCACUUCGACCAGUCGGAUUUUCAUUGUAUGCUCCUCGUCCAUCAGGGUAUUCAUUAUAUCCACUUCUACCGGUUGUAGUUUCAGCUAACAGAGUUCUUCGUCCUAACAAUUAAAAAAUGAAAUUAAUCCAAUAAUUAGUAAUCAUCACUUUUAUUUUUUUUUUUUUUCUUUAUAAAACCAUAAGUAUGAUUGUCACUUGUAAUCUACAAGGCUUUUAAAAUAGUAAUAAUAAAGAAAUUGAAAUAAUAUUGCAUUGAAAUGGAAUAACAAACUUGAAAAAAAAAAUCAAGAAAGAAUUAAAUAGCUUGACACUUUACAACUAUAUAUAUAUCAUGCAAAUUAGAAAUAUUUUUAAAAAUAAAUAAAUAAAUAAAUGCUUGGUAAGUCUAAGUGAACAAACCAAGAUUAAGUUGUAAUCCAUCAUUGAGCAU
rnacentral:lncRNA from 1 species